UGGAAUGUCUGUCUAUCCAUAUCUAUUCUAUCUUUAUAUGACGGGCCAUAGUGAAGUCUUUUAUGGCAUGAUAUAAUCGCGCCUAGUAGCCACAUAUCAGCUGCGCUCAAUAUGCGGGAUUUCCGUUGGAUCAGAUCUUUCGCUUUGACGAAAGCUUUUGGACCUAGCGAAAAGGACUCUAAGCCUUCGCGCAAGCAAGCAAAGUAGAAGCAAGACGAGGAAGCGGAGCUGUCGUAGAAGCGGUAGCUUCCCCCGACCUACUACAAUACAACAGUCGCGACCAUGAAAAAAAAAGGCCCAACGCUUCUAGAGUUCGCUGCUUUUCCCAGGCCGGAGAAGGGCAACUACUGAUUGAUCGCCUUUGUUUGAUAUGUGUUCAAUUCAGUACAAUACAAACUACAACUACACCAAAGCGGAAGGGCCACUCACUAUAGAAGCUAGAAGUAGCCUAGCCCUAGCCUAUAGUAGAGUAUAGUAGAGUAGAGUAUAGUAGAGUAGUCGGCCUAACCGUCAUGGUCACGACAUGUUGUUGAUAUUGAUUGAGUUGGAGGGAGUCAGAGACUACCACGGAAUCCAUCCAUAAACCGUCACCCCGGUGACCUUCGUCACCAAAGCGUCACGACAGUUUCCAAAGGCUCCCCGUCAUCUCAUCUCCAGUGGGGGGCCCAAGAAGUCGGAGCACGUAGGAAUGCCGACCACUACAUAAGCCGCUGGCGGAGAAAGCUCUUCGAGCUUCCCUUCAUUCGCUUCGCGGGAGUCGCACACAGCACAUAGCUGGAAGUCAGAGGGCCCGUACUACCUGCCUAACCCUUCGCUCCGAGGGACCGUAGAACGGAAAGCGCCUUCUAAACAACUCGGCAGAAGGGAAGGGGCCCAUGUAUUUGCAUGACCCCUGCAGAUUUUACCCUACCUACACCCGGAGCCAAUCCCCUAGCGGUCCUGCCACCACGCCGCAGAACGGGAGCUCGUGUGGAACCUUGGAUUUCUGGCGUAACAGCGGUGGAACGUAACAAAAUAUUACGGCCGCGUAACAUAGGGGCCUACGCUACGGGGAACUCGGCCAAAAUAUCGACACCCGAAGGGCCCGGCACGCACAAUCCUAUCCUAUCCGAGCCCGUCAUUGCACUUCGGACAGCCGUCCGUAGCAUCAUAAGGAGCACCUCCCUUUCGAGGUACCAAAAUGGUACGGUCUUUAUUUGUGUUGUUGGUUGGUCUUUCUCAACGUGGUGUAUAAGCACGAAAAACCAUUCUUUACAAGAUAGGGCCGUUCACAUGAAAGAAAAGAAGAAAGGAUUUCUUCUUUUCUUUCGGUCGGGCGCAUUUCUCAAAAUCCUCCAGGAUCACAAGUGGAACGCUAAGCAAGGGUGGGGAGGCUGCGAGCGGAGCGUCGAACAGAAAGAAGCAAGCAGGGGAGAGUCGACGUGUUGCCGUAGCGCGCCGGAGAGCAAGCGUAGGCAACCCUAGUUUAAAUAAGGCUACUAUAGUAAGUAGCUAGCUAGCGUUUUUAAGCUGGCUGCGUUUUGUAGCGCGCGUACUCUUCUGUGGAGUCGCACGGAACGAGCCUUGUCUUCCCUCCAACGACUAGCUCCCGUUUCUUGUUCCGGUCUGACAACGACCCUUCUCUUGUCGUGGAAGGACUUCCGCCUGUGGUGUGGUCCAACCCAUGGGCGGAGUCGCCCUCAUCCCCCCAUUGCUCAGUGCUCCCUGCAGCUUCGCUGGGCUUUACCCGCGUGGACGCGGGCUUCUAUAAGAGAAUGAGAAGCUCUCUCUUAACAAUAAAACGCGAACCGCGCGGAGCCCACCCGAGUUCGUUUUCUGCCGCCACUGGGUGGCCGCUGGGGAAACACAGCCCGGCCCCCUCUCGGGAAACGGGGGUGGGGGUCCAACAAGCACUUGCAGCAGAGGGGGGCCCACAAGCACCCGGCCCGCCCCUUCUUAUUCUGUAAAGCCGACCUCUUUUUCGCCAGUGCUGACGCAGUGCGCGCGUAGAUAAGGAAAGCAAAAUCCCAGUGGGGGCCGGUGCCUUUUUACGGCCUAAACUCCUCUAUUUGUCAGCCGUGGGGAACUACUUCCUUUAUGUCUGAGGCGGGGGGAGGGGGAUGGGCCUACCUAUCCCGAUAGGACCCCAUAAAGGGAGCAGUUGAGAGGUUCCAUAUUGCCGAGCCGAAGGGCAGAACUUCUGUACGUGAUCGUAGUAUGUCACGUCGUCUCGUCCUCGCAGCAUCGAAGAGUACCUAUGCACUAUGUUCCGGUUCACUGAUAAGGAAGAUAGAGUUGGGGUGGGGGUCUACGAUGUGAUACUAUAGUAUGCCCCGGGGAGAAAGAUGCGCAACUCAAAACGGAAGCAGGAACCGUGUUGUCAAAAAUGUCGGGGGUUACAGAUCUCUGAUACUACCAUCGAUCCGACAGAGCGGAACGACCAGAAAAAGAAGUGGAGUUAGAAAGCCGUAUGAUAGGUGGUAACUAUCUUGUACGGUUCGGGGGGUAAUCGGCGUACUCCGGGGGAAUAUUUGGCUCUAUCGAACAUACAGGGAAUUGGAGGUAGCAUUCCACCGAUGUCAAGUCAUGGACUGGUUCCUCCAGCCCUUUUUCUAUGUGUUGGUGUUCUAUAUGACCGACAUAAGACUCGACUUGCUAGAUAUUAUGGAGGUUCAGUGAGCACCAUGCCGAAUCUCCCUACCAUUUCCUUCUCUUCCACUUUGGCCAAUAUGAGUUCACCUGGCACUAGCAGCUUUAUCGGGGAAUUUCCAAUCUCAGUAGGAGCUUUCCAAAGAAAUAGCUUAGUAGCCACAUUAGCAGCGCUUGGGAUGAUUUUAGGCGCGGCGUAUUCCCUUUGGCUAUAUAAUCGUGUGGUUUCUGGAAAUUUCAAACCCGAUUUCCUCCAUAAAUUCUCCGAUCCAAAUGGCAGAGAAGUUUCCAUAUUUCUACCUUUUCUUGUUGGAGGGGCGACCGUCCGUUGAACUACCAAAAAAAGGUCAAAACCAAUGUGAUCAUGACAUUGUAGGUGCUUGCGAUGGGACGGAUGCGACUUCCCUCAUAAGUAAUGGGUGGCAUAGCCCGUAGCAGAAGUCCCCUUUUUUGAUCCAUUUCUUAAUGACCCCAGAGGGGCCCGGGUGGGACCGAGAGAAAGAAAGGACGGGGGGCGACCAUGCAUGGCACUUCUCGACCGUGUCUCCGAGGGACAGUUGAACGAGCGACUCAUGAAUGCAGCCGGGUCGGACGAGCCAAUAACUCGAACGCGUUCGGUCAGUUUUUUGAGCAAGAAUCACAGCGUUACCUUACCUUCACCAUGAUACGGACUCCAAGUUCUUAUGGCAGAGCACGAGGAGUUUCCUUCAAUUUGAUGAUGGGAAUGGAAACCAGAAGCACGACCGGGGUCUUCGUGGUCCGAGAUAAUACUUAUAUAUCAGUCACAGUAACGUAAGCAUGAUACUUUUUGGUAGUACCGGUGAACCAGAUGGCCGCGGCGAGGGAAUCUGGGACGGAGGACUCGUAAUAUCUCUAUAGAUCUGGCAAAGGCGAAAGACCCCCUAACGUCAGGGGCUGACCGCUGAGCUCACUCUGGCCUCGCAGGGCGGGCCAGAGUGGGUGCGAGCUGGAGCUGCCAUAGCUUAUGGCUAGAGCAAUAGGAGGGGGCCCCAGCAGAGAGAACAGUCAGGAUAACGAGCGCUCCGCCCGCCAAGCGGGCGGCAGGAGCAGCGGGCAAGUGCUUGGUAGGCCAACAGCCCAGUGAACCGGGCGGGGCACUCGACGAAAGGGGGGCACACUGAGCAAGUACGAUAAAUUGGCCCCGCGGAGCUUUCUUAAAUAAAAGCAAGGACCGCUACGGGAGGUCGAACCAAGGACCUAUGGAAGUCGGGGCUCGUCCCCGGUAAAUAUUGGAUCAAACAAUAGGGGACCGUAGCACUGACCUUUUUUUUUCAAGACAAUAGGUACUGUUCCCUACCGAGACAACGGACACUCUCAACGGAUCCUCCACGCGCUGGGCAUACCAUACCUCUUCCGUGCGUCUUUAUCGUGGCGGGAACAGAACAACAGGGAAAGACCCGGCCGACCCGCCCAGGGCUCGAGGGCGAGCCAUACGAGAGUGAGUCGAAAGGCUUCUGUUUCCGUUCUUGGUUUGGUUCGGGCCCCUCUCGAUCUUUUUCGUAUAAGGGAAGGGGGAAGGAGUCUAAAUCCAUGGACAUUAAUGAACCAUCAUUGAUGGACGUUGCACAUGACACGAUCAAUUCGACUCGACGGUCCGGCGCUAAUAGAAGUCGCUUACUCUCCGUCUAGCGAAGGUGCCAGGGCAGGGCUUUUUUCGUAGUAAUAGUGGGCGGGUCUCAUGAGAUCUAAUCUAUGCCGGCCGUCGGAAUCAAAGGAAGGUCGAAGGACCAUUCGAUUCAUUAAGGGGGACGGCCUAUUUGUAAGGCGGGGGGGAACCACUAUGGACGAGACCUCCCGGCCUCGAUUCUUUUGCAUAGUCCGGAGGCCGGCCGCAGCAGAGCUGCGGGGCAUAGCGGCGCCCUCGCCUGGCGCCAUUCCCGGACCUAGCAGCAGACGGGCGGGCCGGGCCUGAAUUCAGAGCGGACCAGACUCUUCUUUGUUUCAGCUGCUCCCACGCACGCAGACCGGAAGAUCUCAGUUGUCCUGGACUAGACAAGUACGUAGAGAUCUUCGUCGGACCAGGGAGGGAGUCUCAAUCGAUCUUUUCUAGGAUUCCAACUCAGGCCACGCACGGAGAUUUUUCCAGUUGAGGGCUCGGCUCCCCCGACUCUUAAAGGUUAGGUUACUACCUGCCUCUACGGAAGAGGUGUACUUUGUACCGCCCGGAGGUCAUAUAGAUCGGAACCCGGAGCGAGUUGAACGAAAGCCCUACCCACAGCUACAACUACUGGCGCUUCAAAGGGCUUAGAUUCUAAGGGCGCUACUGGGGUGUAAGCCCCGAAAGCCUUUGGUACUUAAGUAGGGCGAGCAGCCCUUAAACAAAAUCAAAGGCGCGACCAUCCCCCCUUCCCCUAUUUCUGCAUUUCAUUCUCUAUUUGGCCCGCCUCAUGAAAAAUGAGAGGCCUAUUGAUUCGAAGUAACUACGAAAGGGUCGGUCAAUAGCAUAGCUCUUUCCCGGGUCUCCUUUCGAAGGAAAGGCCUUCGCAUUCCUAAUCCGGUAGGGCCGGACGGCUUUGUUUGCCCCAGCUUGGCGAAUCGCAUCCCCGCGCCGCCCCUGACCGUUCUCGCGAAGUCUUUGCAACGGCUGGGAAACCAGUCUACGAAGCGAAGCCUAUUGCCACGCCGACCAUCAAAUACGAGAUUGGGCCCCUUCUCAAAUCUUUGAUGGAAUGGCCCAGCCCAAUAAAGGAAGGUUAACGUACGCGAUGCGUUCCAUUUGUACGAAUCGCGAACAUACCACGCACGACCGGACGUAGAGCCAAAAUUCACUGGCAGACCGAGUCGAGCGCAGGUGCCAGAUCCUAAAAGUAGAGUCUCGAUCAGCCUAGUGCACCAACCACGUGGUACGACGGGCACUCAAAGACCUGGCGAAUGAUGGCCCACCCCACCCAAGAGCGCUUAUGUCAUAUGGGAACUCAUGGCUGGAAACAAUCCUUAUGGUUUUUAUAUCCGGUAAGAAUAAUAAGAAAGAAUCAAAGUCCAGGUUGGUUGGUGAGCCUAGUGAUAGGAGACUAUCUAGCUUGGUUCGGAGAGCACUUGUUGGGUUAAAGAUUUCUUUUUUGCUAAAUGUUACGGCCUAAAUGCUGAACUAUUGACCCUACUUGUUCGGAUGGGUGUUCACCCCAAAGUGUUCCCGGACUGCAUGCAUACAUCCGUAAGUAACUUAGUGCAACAUGGCAAAUUUCAUUGAGAGGAAUCAGCAAAGAAAAGAAAAACAGGUCUUAAUUAUUAAUGUGUAUUUGAGAGAUUGUCCUCGGGCUGAGGAGUGUCCACAUGAGUUCGUUGAGGUGUCUACACGUCUGCGGCCCUCUUUUCUAUUCUGUCGAGAGUUCGGAUUGCUCCACCUAAGUAGAACGAAAAGGAGGAAUUGGAAAUUCAAAGGGGGGAGCCAGAACAGAAGCUUCGCUUCCGGUAGCUUGCUUACUCUCCUAGUUAGAAGAAGGCUCUUUGGCGGAUUAUUUAGAUCUGGAUAGAGUCUCGCUCAGUAAAGAGAGUUGUAGAUUCGUAGAAGAGAAUCAGAGUACGCGCGCUAGCUCUGGAUAGCUGCGAAGCCUUCUAUGGUAUGGAUACUUUGCUUCCCGUUCGUUGAACAACCCCCUGUAGCUAAACUUCACUAUGCUUGAAAGGGCGAACUCCACCUAUUUUUGAGCUAUUUAAUUAGGCGAUCCGAAAAUCAAUCUCUUUCUCACUCCCCUCUAUCAGAAAAGGAGGCGUCGGUUCUGAAAUAGUGGUAAGGCAAGCUCUAUGUAUCUAGGUAGAAGUAGACCUCGAGCUCUGGGGUCAGUCAGGUAGGUAACCUAACCUAACCCAGACCAAGCUUUAAAGAGUACUGGAAGGGAACUUUCUCCUUAAUCCGUCGGUUGGCUGGUCAGACUAUCACACACGAGACUCGCCUGGGCUCUCAUCGAGACCAACUCACAACUCUCUCCUUCACGUCUGGUACCAUUGCCCCGCCACUCUGCCUGUCUUCUUGUGGUCCUUCUUGGGUCGGGUCAUUCUUCACUCCUGUGACAAGGGAGACCUCUCUUCGCAUACCGACCCUCCAGUUAGUUCCACUUCUGGGGCGAAGCUGAGCACUCAGGGCAUAAGGGCGGGCUUUUCGGUUCUUAUUAACGUGCUUUUCCAGCCCCUAUCUUCCCACCUCCGGUCACAUGAGCUUUCGAGAGCCCGGUCCGGAUCUCUUUCUUUUAUUUUAUAUGUAUGUCUCAUGUCUUUCAGCUCAGCGGGAUCUAGAGAAAGACAGACCGACCUACCUACCUGUUUUCAGUGGCAAGAUCAAUCAAACAAAAUAGGCUCAAGAGAAGAACCUGUUUUCUUCUUCUUCUUCAACUAUAUCCCAUCGUAUACAUCGCCCUAUAUGAAAAUAUGAAUGUACCCCUAUCUAUUCAACUCUUAGGUGGGCCUGCACGCACCUUUUUAGGUUAUCCGGAAGGAAUGGAAUGACUAAUGUGAUGUGAAACCUCCACAAAGAGAAAAAGCCCCCUACUCUUAAAAGCUUCCCGGCCGGCCAAUCUGUGACAACCCCACAACAAAGAGUGAAAUGCCAACACUGACAUGCAUACAGACAAAACCCCAAACCACCUUGUUUGUGUACUGGAACAGCUACCACUUCCUUAGAACAGCACUAACUUAGCGCUCUAUACUAUACUAUAUAAAAAAUCAAAGAAAAUAAAAGAAAGAGAAUAGCUCCAUAACAAACAUUAUAGUGAACUGCCAUGAAUUACACACACGCUAGUAGUGGCUCGGCUAGAGGACUACAGAAGCCGAAGCCGGAAGGCGACAGGAAGGAAAGGUUUAGUUUAAGCAACUAGUCUUGUCUUCAAGCAGAAGGCGAUAGACCAUCAAGCAAGGAAGAAGCGACUAGUGCUAGAGCCAAUAGCCUAAGCCUAGCUACCCCAACUCAGAGAGCUGCCCUAGUUGAAGAUAGAGAAGAAAUGCGGGCGGACUUGUCGGAUCGAAACCGCACUUCUCCUCAUAUUGGGUAGGAGGGGAAGAGAACCAUUUGUCCGGGAUAGAAUCUUCCAUCACUUUGCUUGCUCGAACUCUUGGCGAGAGCUGCACCUCUCUUUCUUCGCUGAGCGAGACCAGCAAGGGGAAUUUAUCCAUUUGGAUAGGAAGCACUCAACUGAAAGGAGAGGGAUCGGGGAGAUGAAUUCCACCAUAGGAGAAUAGGUAGAGGGCAGCUUCUCUACGGAUUAGUCAAGGUCACAAUUGGGAUCCUAGUAGAAGGCUCACAGAAUGGUCAAAGAGGGCUGACGCACCGGGAGGAUAGUCAUAGAUAGGGAAAGGGAGAUCGACCAACCAUGGACGGAAAGCAGAGGUCUCAAAAGGGUUUUCUUCGAACAAAUGUCAGUUCCCAUAGAAUAGGAAGAAAGGGGCUGACUGAAGCUUUUGCUUUUCUCGACGUAAGGAAAGGACUCAAAGCGAAAGCUAGAGGGAGAGGUCCCCAUUCUUGUCCAAUGACUUCUCCCGGCCACCCUCAACCUUUGGAUGAACCAAUCUUCGACUCUUUUGUUUGACCUCCCCUAACUCGAGACCUUGACUCUUCGGGGCUUGCCAAUCAUGAUUGUUUGACGAAAAAAGCUCUGAUCCCAGUUUGGGACUUCCUCUUCAUGUCACGAGAGGCAUUCGAUACUUUGAACUUUCAUAUGUAUGAGAGAAAGAAGAAUUGUGAUCUUCACUACUGGGGAAGAAGAGUCCCCUACCCCACGGAGGAUCAUAGAUCUCAAUAAGCGGAUCAUGAGUCAGUACGUCAACAAUCAGAAAAACCUCCAUCUGGCACAUUUCCCAAUCUAAGGAUUGUUUGUCAGGUCUUUCCAAUGCCGGGGAAAGGAUCAGCAGCAAACCACCUUUUUUUACAAAUGAUUGUGAUUGUGGAGUUGAGGCAGGGGACGGUGCUAGACGACUCGGCGAUUCUACCCUACCUUUUUCCCAGGAUUGGACGCCUAUUGACGAAGCUCAGGAUUGGAUUGUCGCCCUACUGCUUGAGGAGAACAACCUACCACUGACUUUUUUGAAAGUACCUCUCUCAUUGCACCAAAAGAGUCUGUCUUUGACGAUAGGGCUUGAGGUCGAUCGGUCCACCACUAAGGAUCUAUGGUAGGUCAAAGAGCGAAGAAUCGAUUGCCCACCACUUGUCCUUGUACGCGCUAUAAGAUAUAGGCUUUCUAUGAAAGCUCGUAGGAUCAGCUGACAAAACAGAAAGGGAUUCGGACUCGCCUGGUUCAUGUCUAUCGAAGAGGGAUCUCAGAUUGCGCUUGACCGCAGACUCGUAGCAUGGGUGAAAAUUCUUCAUCUUAGGUAAUGAAGGUGGACAGCUCGUCGUCUUCGAAAAAGGAAGGGAUGAUUCUUGCCAAACUCUGUCAUGCCCGUCUUCCUUGGAGUUUCAAAAACGAAUAUCCCCUUCCGUUUUUCCGUCUUCUUCUCUGCCGAAAGGAAAGACAAAGGCGAGGGAGUCCUCGGAUGGGGAAACCGACGAUUGAGAGGUCAGAUCACACCAUCCUCAUUGAUCCAACUCGGGUUGGUAUGCACACAAAGAAAGACCUUACCACAUGUGUUUCAGUUUGAGAGCCACCCUGUUCUCUAUGGGUCGAAGCCCCCGACCAAGACCCAUGAGACCUUGUCGUGGAUGGAGUUGCCCGAUAAUAUGACUUACUGUUUAUGGCUCCGUUGCUGGACAGUCAGCGGGAAUUCCGGGCUGUCCUUGACAAGUGAUCAAUCCAAAGAGCUCCGGUCGAUGGAAGAAAGCGAGCACUCAACCUCACCUAGAUCUUCCUUUGUUGCACCUAAUAGAGAAAGAACACUGGUAAUAGGUCUCUUUUGGACUAAUCGAUCUAAGUGUAGCCUGUUUUCUUUCGAUUCAUCCAAUUGUGGAGAGUGAGUCUAGUCUCAUACUUCCAAUUCCUCUAAAGGAGUUGACCCGCAUCAGCAAGAGGGAUAUAUUGACAGACUUUUCCCUGGAGUCGAUCAGUAGUAGUAGUAGAAAGUACCCUCUUUUCCAAGAUGGAUUAUGCUUCCAUAUAGAACUCUCUCUAAGCAAAAGUCCCGCCUCCUUCGAAAGAGAGUUCUUUCCCCCUACUAUAGACCCCAUUGGCUCUUUCAUCCUCACUCGAGACUCUCGGAAUGCAAAUAUGGAUCGGCUCACUGGAUUCCUGUCUCCAAGACGAAAGUGAAAGGCGCAUGUAAACCCUUUGCUGUGAUAGCCUAAUAAACGUCCUUUUCAAAUGGAACAAUCCCCAGAUAUCAGAGACCUUUUUGUCCAAUUUAUGCGGGGGUUAUAAACUUGUUAGAAUGGGGUUUGUUAUGGAUCCAACAAAGAUGAACAAAAUGAAGAAAGGAGAUUGAGACCGCCCCGCCCACUUCUUGUGAAGCUAAUGAAUCGUUGACUUUUUGUGCUUGUGCCCUCCUGAUCUGAUGGAAAGACCGGACACCACUCUUUUAUGUACGAGUGCCCCUACUGACCGAUAGACUUGCCCAUGGCUGCAAAGCCCGCCCAUCCUUUUUCGAGAUGAAAGCCCGGUCGGAUUCACUUUCCCAGUCAGAUCCAUCCACGCUAGACUGACGAUCGGGAACUCAAGACCCAAUCCGCUCUCUUCCCUCUCGGUCUAUGACUCGGGGUCCCUCCCUGUCUGAAAGAGCAUCACGGAAACUGAGCUCGUCCUGUUUAGGGGGCAGCAAAACGAAAGCUCAUCGGAGACAGAGAAAGCAGAAGCUAGACCAUCAGGAAAGGGCAUAGGAAGCUUGCUCUCGACAAAAGCCUUUCUCUUUGUCUGACUCCUUUGACUACUGUACUGGGAACGUCGAACGAAACGGGGAUGAUCGGUUGACUUCUAUUCUCUAGGGCUCCCCUUCCCGAGACCCGAUUGGACUUCUGGGUUCGCUCACUUCUUUGUAAAAGAAAGGGCUUUAAGAACGUCGGCAGGCAGCACCCUAUUCGGAGUAGGAAGUAGAAAGACAUUGCAAGGAGAACCACCUUGUGCGGUGGAGGGCUUGUGAACAUUGGAAUCUGAUUGAUGUGAGGAGGAAAGGCUUGAAGGCGGAUCGUCCAAAGCCUGUGUUUUCGACUUCACGAUCACCCACAGGUAAAAAAGCGAGAUUGUCCUACUUCCGUCAUUGUCUUUGGCUUAUUUUUCAAUUCUAAUGAGGAUACCUUGAGACCUGAAGAAAGAAGAGCUACUGGCUUUCCCACCAACGAACGAGGCUAUGACUCCAAUCUGUAAACUUCGUCCUAUGCGACUGAAUGGUACUGGACUGCUGGUUCCGACACUGGUAGGCUCGCGCAUUGAAGGAAAGGGACAGCCAGAUUGGAUUCGGUGAGUUUGAUGUAGCAUAGAAAAAGAUAGGAAGACCUCUCAUUGUUGAGCAAGUGGGAAGCAAGCUUCUUUGUGUAGGGCGACCAGGCUCCACAGGGAGUCGUCAUCUCGGGUGAUAAAAGUUCCAUCAUAAGCUCAGAUUUGAGGGACGAGGAAAGGCACAGGACUCAUAGAUAAGGAAGGCCAGGACAAGGGCGUCGAGCAGCAUGUACUCAUUCUCAUUCGCAAAGUAGACAAGCAUAAAAAAAAGACGAGGUUUUGUCAACGAGUUAAGAUCUACUCAAACUAAAGAGAGGCGAAAGAAUGAAUUGAGUGAUGACUUACUCACAAUAACAGCCCCUGUCAAGCUCUCUUGACCAAAGACCAUCCUUCUCUCCAGCCAACAAGGGGAUUGAAGCCACCAACCAGUGGUGUGCCAAAUCAGGGUUGGAUUGAAGCGCGAGCGAGCCAACCAGAAGGGAAGGUGAGGUCGGUUAGUCAAGGUAGCCAGAGCCAGAGAAGUCAGGCGAGAAAUCCUUCUUGGAUGAUUCCGAGACCAAGUCUUCGAUGAGAAUCUCUCCAUUGGAUUCGUGAGAUGCGCCUAGGAAGGGUUCCCUCCUCACCGAUCAUGUAUCCCCUGCGAAGGGAUGAGAGGCCGAAGAUCCUGUUUUUCAAGACCUCAUCAAGUCAAGGGAUGCCCCAUUGGUGGAUCCACGGACCUCUCCCUCUAGCUUUCGCCAGUCAAGCUUUCUCAGAAAACAAAGAAAGAGGAGUACGCUUUCCAGCGAGGAUACAAGAGUGCGUCGUUUUCAAGCCAGUUUAGCUUCUUAGACCCCACUUUCUUUUCCUGAUGCUGAACCGAAAGUGUUCCAUACUCCCUCCUCCCUUCUUUGUAUGGUGAAAGAUCUAAAGCAAAAGACUCAUAGGGUUCGGUUAGAAAGCACCGUCUUGAGUAGCCUGAUGUAGCUAUGAAUCUGUGCCGCCCUGGCAUCUCUUCUUUACCCAUUGCUGGAAAGCAGAAGGUGAUCAGAUUGGCUUUCUCUAUCUCAUAGUCGGAGGACGAAAGGAUCUCGCCGUUGUUUAAGGAUAGCUUCGGGAAGAGAGGGAGAACGAGUCAGCAAGCUAGCCGUCAAUCAUCCCACUUCUUUCACUUCUGGGGGGAGGGAGACUCAGUUCGACUACUUGAUCGAAAGCGCCCAUCUAUCUUGUUGGCUGUGAUGAACCUUCAGAUCAGAAGAAGCGGGGUCUCGGUUCGCGUGCGCUGACUCAGAUAUAUGAGAGGGAUCUUCUUCUGGGCAGGAAUGAUCACCGGAUCAAGCACACAGAUAGGAGAAGACCAGCGUCAGCAGCAAUCCAAGCGGUAGCAAGAAUCUUCGAUGGUAGCCCAGUGGUCAAGCAAGCACACAGCAAUAGGGAAAUCAUUCUCUGGGCGGGUGUCUCCUCAUAGGUUGGGGUUCAAAGGCGAUCUUACCUUUAGACUAGGAGGCAGACUGAGAAGGGGGAUAUGCCUACUCCAUGAAAGCACCACUCUCUGGUACCCGUGCCUUCCCCUGCCCUUACACAAGGAUCCUCCCUUUUUGAAUGGGAUCCCUCCCAGACGGAGUCGAAUGCUUCCCAGUGCCGAUCAACCGCUGAUCUUGUACCAGUGUAGUGUGAUAAGCCAGUCAUCAAAGAGGAGUUGGUUGGGCUUUCAGUCCCUUGUCCCGGGGUAGCAAAAAAGUGCGCUAUAGUAUCGCGGUAGCAGCCCUGUUUCAAUAGUUCCUUGAGGAAGACCAGAAACCAGACUGCUACUAGGCACAGUACACUACACUCGUAGUCAGUACACAACACUCGACUUCCUCAAGAUUGGUCAUCAGAAGGUAGCUCUUCAGGGAAAGCAGAUGCGGGAGUGAAGUGCUCGGUAGCUGUUAUGAUCACAACAGAUGAACUGUAAGCCCAUAAGCGAUCUGAUCUGCUUUUCCCGUUAGAAGCAUACGCGCAGGGGCUUAUUUUGAGAGUUCAGUAGAGCUGUAGUAGCGGGACUAGUAGCUAGCUCCAGUCUUGUAGAGAGCUGUCCUUUCAAUAGGAACAGCACAAUGUUCAAACACGGGUUGGAUUGAUGAAGAAGACACAUCAACAUCAGACUCUUCUGUUGGCAAGAAACCCGAAGAAUAGAGGUGGUUCCGCUUCACACGGCUCACUGGAAAUGAUUCAAUACUGGCUGUUGAACAAGGGCCGGCUUUCGAGCCAAUUAGAUGCAGGUUUUCUUUUGGCUUGCCAUGUUCUGAAAAUGAGACUCGUUUGACUAUGAUUUUCUGAGACUUUGGUAGCACAGAUCAUUCAUCGAUAAUAAAAAGUACUGGCACGGCACACUAAGGCCAGAGAACGGUAACCACCUUGCUGUAGGUUGGGAGAAAGGCGUAAGAAUAAGGGCGUGUCUUCGAUCCAGUUCCCUAGCUUCGUGAGUGGAAAACAAAGGAAGGUAGUUCAAUAGGGCUUUUUCCCAGUGCAUCAAGGAUCACGAUCAGGAUCUGCUAACUCAGCAACAAAGAAGAAGCGAGGGCGAGCUUAGGCUACCGGUGGCUCACUUGCUUCUAAAAUGCCCGGUUCGCCUCUAGAGUUGGGUCGUACUCGACUCGAUCCUGGUCUGGUCGACCUAACCUUGAUGAAGGAGUGGAUAACACGACCCCAGAGAGAUAAGCAUGACGGGGCUAGCUAAUAGGAAUCAGGUAGUGAAGCAAGAUGGAAAGCGAAGCGGGUAGCAGUGAUUGGAAAGGCAAGGGUAUGGGAGGAAAAAGAGGAAGAUAGACGGGCAAGAAUCGGUGUCUCACUCAGGUGGAGUAGCUACGAGUCGGCAAAGGAAGGAGGCAGCACGGUAGCCAGAUGAGUAGGUGAGGGGGGAAUCAGUUAGACUUGUGACUGAAUCAAGUGGUGCAUUUGCAUCUGAGUCGGAAAGCUCAUCGAAGCCCCUCUUGGAUCGAGGGGGAAAGAAGCCAGUCAAAUGGAAGGUUCACAGGUUCUAAGGUCAGUCAGGGCGUUCAUCGUGGAGUCACUGUGCGGGAAAGAGGAGGGUAUGGGCAGGCAGCAGGUGAGGUUGGUUCUGAGGAAGGGAAGUGAGAACAAGAAGCCAAGCCCCUCGAAGAAGCCUCUCGUGAUCAAAUAGAGGCAGGCUACUCCUGGAACGCUCCUCAUAGAGAAUCCAUAGCCUGCUGAACCUUCAACCAAGAGAACAGAGCUGAGCUUGAACCAAUAGAGUAUAUUCCAGAUAGAAAAGAGACCUUUUGCUCUCCAAUCACAAUCCAUAAAUCUUCAUUGGAUUCGCCCAGAUCACCUGGAUCAUUUUCCACCCACCAGCACCGACUCACUCAGGGGCUAUUUCACUCUGCCACAGGUCGAAAAAGGGCUUUUUACUCCAUGAAGGAAGACACGGGAUAUGACACUCCGAAACUCUGCCUUCUUAAAAUGGCAACCAAAUUCAGGUAGAACACCAGUUCUGACCCGUGACUAUACUAUAAGGAGUACCUGUCAGCUCGUCCUAGGUAUCGCUGCUUGACCUCACCCCAGGGGCACAACCAGCGACUCUCCAUAGCCAAUUGCAAACCUGUCAGGAACUUUUAACCAAGGAGCCAGGGGUACUCAUUUUCUAUGGGAUGGUUGCUCAUGCUUCAACAGGGUUUUCAACCUGGUAGAGGCCUAGGACGACAGCAAGAUGCAAUGAUGAGCCAAGACUUGUCAGACCCCAUAGCAGAAAAAAGGGCCUAGGGUGAAAGGGCACCCAGGCCAAUACAACUCCGAAUAAAGACCGGACUCUGCCCGACCACUUUAUACCAAGUGGGAUCAUAGAGAUCUGCAUGAUUGAAACCCAACACACUGAUGUUCGAUUAGAUCCCAUAGAGUCCCAUCCCAUUGGACUUUUUGUCGAGGGUAGGAUCUGAGGAACCCUCUCAGUCUGUUUAUACUUAACUUGGGCUGGGGACAGGCUAAUCAUUGACGAACCUUCGCCCACGUCUGUCUCCGAGUCAACUCGCAAACAACGGCGUAGGAGGCUUUCUCAAACCUCCUCUGUUUUCCUCCAAACCGGAGGGUCACAGGGGGAUGUCCCAAGCUCUUGAAAGAUAUGAACAACGGACCUCCGCUAUGGUGGAAGAAAAAGUGGACAUCAACGGCGGAACUGGAAGUGAACCUAGAAUCGUUCAAAGAAGCGCGUCAUUCACACCAGUAGAACAAGAAAGAAUGAAUUUAUAAAGACAUACAUAGAAAUUUUCGCCUAGUCCUAUAGCGACAUGCCAUGGUUGGACCCUGCGCUGGUUGAGCAUCGUUUGAUCCUCUUAGAAGGAGUCAAGUCCGUGAUAGAAAAGCUACAAAAAGUCCAUCCGCAACUUGAAUGAAAGUCAAGUCAAAGAAGAAAUCUACUAACUAAUCGGUGCAAACUUCUCAGCUCUCCUACGAUUAGACGUAGUGUCGUUUCUGAAACUCCUUCUAUCUUCCAACCUAAAGAAAUCAUGGAAAUCCCCUGCUAGCAUCGAUGGGUACUGGUCAUAUUGUUCAGCCAUUCUAUUGAUAUUCUUCCCUUCCAAAAUAAGCUCUCUGUUACGAGGAUUAGUGCUUGCAUAGACUGCAGACAAUAUCAAAUCUCCAUACUUUCUAAACAAGGCAUGAAUUAUUUGAGGGUGAUUUUCAAAGACUAUAACAUUAACUUAAUUGGAGUCCCAGAGCUAUCUCCCAUUCUACCAAAUUAAAAGAAAGAUUCGAAUACUUGACUAUGCUGUCGAUCAAACUUCCAAUCCUUCAAAGUUAGAGAUUCGGAGAUCGCCCACGGAAGCUUUAAAUCCAUCCCGAGAGCUAUCAGCUAUCCAAGGAUGGGAGGGUCACUGGGUUCAUACAUCUUUGCUCCUUCCGUAUGAAUGGCUGUUUAGGGUCCAAGGACCUGCCGGGGACUCCGUACAAGGUAGAUCGAGCGCGAGUGAUGAUGACUGAGCCCUACCUAAUCCAUCUCCACGUCUGAUGAAUCCGGGGGUCAAGCUAGCAACUAGGUCCAUUGGAUCAAUCGUGAGAGAUUAAGGUCUUGCUACGCUAUGGUCCGGUGGGUCAGGAUCAUGUUGGGAGGUCACUCCUCUCGCAGGAUUAGGAGGAAUCGCAGGAGAUGUUUGAGUUUGACUGCCUCGUCGCGCUUACCGGAGUCUGAAACUUGUGCGAUGCCCCCGUGUCGACUAAGGCAACUUUGUCUCGUCCGUUUACCGUGACCCCUAUGGAGUGGAGUAAAGCAUGCGCCUCUCCUGCUCGACUCACUCAUUGUCCCCUUAAUCGUAUUCAGCAGCUGCCCCCGCCCCUACUAUCAAAGCGCCUCCUCUUCCGACUGCACUGCAUGUUGGGGGUAUCUUGGGAGGUGCGGCUUCGAACAGAAUCUCUAAAGCCUCCCGUUCCGCCGACUGACUAUUAGGGGGGGGGCUCGACUCAGUCGUCUUGCCCCUUUGAUGAGCCUGACGAACCUCUUCUUCGACAUUCCUACAUCUCUAAGGCCCUCUGGCUUGCCUCGGUCCCUUACCCCCCGUGCGACUCCUCGCGCCAAGGUACUUGAAAUCCACUAGCCGAUCUGAGACUACCAGAGCAGCACUCCCUCAUUCAUACAAGUUCUGCACAUUCUGCCUCCGCAGUUACGCUUGCUCCCACGGUUUUAAGCCCUUCAGAAAGGGAAAGAAACUUUCUUCAUCCGACAUAUUAUGUCGAGCAUUAGCGCAGAAAAGUCCUUGUUGUAGUGCCGGACUGCUCUGGUCUGUCUCACAUUCAUCAAGGAAUGAUGUGCCAUCCACGACACAUUACCAGGUAAGAACUGAGCCUUCAACUCAGCCUUCAGCUGCUCCCAGGUUCCGAUCGAGCACUUCCCUAUGCCGACCUCCUCCGAUAUCUCCCAACGUGUGGCACUCCGGCGCCUUCCAGAGUCAGCCUCCCUGCAACUCCCCACGUGCACUAUUGGCCAAUGAGGGAUCGCCACCCCAAAAGACCAUCAAAUGCAUAGCGACGGUCUUGAGGUAUUGGCCGACAAAGAGAGGAUCAGACGAGCGAGAAAGUUGACGUAUCGCCUUACAAAACAAGAAAAAAAAAGAGGAAGACUAGUUCAAUAGCCAGUUCAUUCGAGUCUAUAAGAAGCAGAAGGCAUAGGCCUGCACGAAGCCAAGCCCCAGCCACUGACUGAUGGACUGACUUGGGCUACCUUUAACCCGGAGACCCACUCUCCUCUGACCUACAGCUGGCUUGCUUUCUUGCCUUGUUAUGAGUGCUCGCUCCCUUCACCGACCCACCUCCCUUUAUUCUCCUUCCUAGCUUCUAUUACCAUUUUUUCUUUCUCUUCCCUUCUUCUUUUGCCUAGACCGACUGCCCAUGCUCACAUCUCAGAACUCAGAAAACCGCAUCCAGGCAACUCUGAUCUCUUUCUUCCGUAUGAUAAAGGGGCUUUUCCCUAACGAAGAAUGUGCUAGGAGGGGUACACAUCCAAAGACAGUCUUUGAUUGGACAGGAACGGCUAAAAGAAGGCGGAAAACACUCGGGGAGAGACUCAACUAAACCCUUAAAAUAGGAAUAGUGAAUGCCCCGGGAGACACGCACGGUACUUACCGGUGCUAUCGGGCCUCGGAGAAAAGAACUAGUAUCCGAGAAGAGAUAGGGAAAUGCCGGUAUAAGCGACGAUGGCAGAAUACGGGAUAGAAAAAGAUAGGCUUGAAUAGACUUUUCUUCUACUUCGGAUAGAUUACUGGUCCCUAGGGGCGGAUGAAAGGUACUCAAAAUCCAAGAGGGCUAUCCUCUCAAUCGCCGAGGGCUCGCUACAGAUCCCCUCCGUCCGGUCAAGCAACUCAAACAAGAACAACUCAUAUGAAUCCGCUCUCGUCUCUUGUCUCUCUUCUAACUCAAGAACUCAGAAACAAGGAAGGCAUCUCCUUUAACUCAAACGAAAUUCAAGAUCCACUGAAGGGUCUGGUUUGAAUUAGCAUAAAGUGAUAUCCCUGGUGUCGACUCUUUCCUGGAGUAGCUUUGUGCCUAGAAACCUCUUCUCUGACUAGAGUCCUGCCUAUGGGGUCGAACUGGAUGACUGGAGGAAGUUAAGAUAGAAAUCUCCCUUUCCAUAUGAGUUAGCGGGGCACCUUCCGAAGAUAUGCGCACUACGGACGAGACGGCUUGACGGCUGUAAGUCGGAUGGCGGGCCCUUGCCACCAAGCGCUUCCAAGAGAGGAGCUCGUAAAGGCUGGGACGGAGAUACUGCCGCUCUUUGGGAUACGGUCUUGCCGAGGAGGGUAGGCCGGACGGAAGAGCAUGCCUGCGAAGACGGUGGCGGAAUACGGAAUAGACAAAGAUAGGUUUGAAAAGAACAUAUUUGGUCUGGCUUAUGGAGGAUUGGGCUGGGGAAGGCAGAGAAAGGAAUCUUAUUAAGCUAGUCAACAAGCGGGACUAAGAAUCCAUUUCUCUUCGUAGCAGCCAAGGAUUAGUUGAUCUAUUAGGUUCUUCGAUUUUCUUUGUUCGGAGAAGAAAGACGAUCCAAACAAAAAAACAUCUUUGAUUACGAGGAAAAGGAAAAUCGAAAAUCGACCAAGAUCCUCGGGUCAUUUCUUGGUGAACAUAAUCUGCCAUAAUCUCUUCGAUCCCUAUUUUAUGUGCCAGAAUACAGAGAGAUUUUGUAGGGAAGUAGUCAACUUAUUUUUUUGAAUAAAGGGGGUGGGAAAGCUGCAGUAAUUCUUUGGAAAAGCCCAGUUCUCUUUGUCUUCGAGCUUUCAUUCCUCAAUCCACUGUUUCGUUCUUUCAUAUACCUCCCCACCAAUAGAUAGAGACAAAUGGGAAUAACCGAACCACGUCUACAAAAUGCCAGUACCAUGCAGCUGCUUCAAAGCCAACGUGAUGCUCCUUGGUCAGAUGACCAAGAUAUUGGCGAAUACCACAUAUGAUCAAGAAAAGAGUACCUAUAAUCACAUGAAAACCAUGAAAGCCAGUUGCUGAGAAAAAGGUAGAACCAUAAAUACUAUCUGAAAUAGUGGAGGGUGCUUGGUAAUAUUCCAUUCCUUGAAAGCCAGUGGAUACUAGAGCCAGUGAAACGGUAGCUACUAAAGCGUAAACUGCUCGUUUUUCCUUCCCCGCGAGUAUAGCAUGAUGAGCCCAAGUUACGGCAGCUCCGGAUGAAGGGAGAAUAGGGGUAUUAAGAAAAGGGAUUUCCCGAGGAUCUAAAACCCCAAUCCCUUUUGGGGGCCAAAUACCUCCGAUCUCUACCGUAGGUGCCAAAGAAGAAUGAGAAGAAGCCCAAAAAAAAGCAAAAAGGAACAUAACCUCCGAUACUAUGAACAGAAUAGAACCAUAUCGAGGUCCUAAUUGUACAGCUUUUGUAUGAUGUCCUUCCAACGUGGAUUCACGUAGAACAUCGCGCCACCAUACGAACAUGGUAUAUAGGAUAAAUAUUAGGCCCAAACUGAGAAGUGUUGCACCCCCUUGAAAUGGGUGCAUGUACAUCACACCUCCUACGGUGGUUGCCAAAGCUCCGAGUGAACCCGAAAUAGGCCAUGGACUUGGAUCUACCAAAUGAUAAGAAUGCCUCUGAGAUUCAAUCAUAAACCACUUUGCCCCGGUUGUAUGUAAACCCCCUUCACCCCCACCCCCUAAAGUGGUAAAGAAGGGGGCUCUUUUUGGUCUCAUUUCUUUCUAUCUGACAGGACAAACAAAUAGGAAGGGAUGGUUCUUUCAUUGCAUUGAUAGAAGUGAUACUAUCAAAAGAUCUCUCUAUUACUUUGAGAAGAGAAUAGAAUCGUUGGUUUGACCCACGAACUACGUGGGAAAAUAAAUAGACCUUAAUUAAUCAUUGGUUUGCAUUUCCUCACUGACGCAUUUUUUGUUGGCGUCAGCUUCUUCUUCCAAUGCCCUCUUCAAUUCUAAGGCACGGAAGAAAUUUGACUUUGCGCCUUCUAUUCAAAGAUAGAUCAAAGAGGAUACGCCGGAGGGAUGUCCAUUGUAUCCUUGCACGUGCCUUCAACUAUGUCACAGAUAAGAGAGUCCUCGUUAAGGUUAAGGAAAGAACCAUUUUCCUCAGGUUAGGAGGUCAGAACAUUGGCUUUGAAUAGACCAUUAUGCUUAUAAUGUUAUCUGGUCUUCGUCUUCUGACGGGUCCGCCAGAUGACGGUUAGAGCGUUAAGCGCAGUCUCUCUCGAUAAGGGAGUUGUGUCCACGCCAAUUCCUCCAUUUAAGACCUCCUCGCCGCCGACAGACCCAUUGCUGGCUACAAUACAAAUACUACCACACCAGCUUCUUUUUUAUCGAAGAAGUGAAAGAGGGGGAAAAUUCUUCUUCUAAAAAAAAAGAUUUUUCUUAUAUGCCUUUCCAACUGAAAGACUAAACGUUACGAGGAUAUAUAGAGGGUUGUUGACCCAACAAAAGUCAGGGUUAUCUUCCUCGCUCGCCUACGGCUCGCUAACUGCCUUCUUUAUUCUUUGCUUCUCAACUUCCGGUUUCGAAACCUCCAGAACGAAAGAAAAAUUCCCUAUGAUAGGUAUCGAUUUGCGACUCAAAGAAGGGAUUUUAGGAAAUUCCCGGUUGCAAUGCAAAGCCUGUUAAUAGAUCAAUUCCUUUCCGUGAUAGGUAAAACAUCUCCUCCUACGUCGACUCCUGAGGUAAGACAGCCGGUUGAUCGACAACAGGUACUCUACUACUUCCCGAACCGAUUGACUUAUCUUUCCGGUCAGGUCGAGACACUGCUUCCGAAUCCAUUGAUUCCCAAUCCGUAGCUGCUGCGCCAUAGUUGAUCCCAGUCGCCUUGUCUUUGGCCCCCUCCUCCGACCGGCUGCAUUUCCUACUAUUUUUCCAAACAUCUCGAGUUGGAGGGUUUGACGACAAAUCUUGACCGGAGGGAUGCAUGAAAUACGAAUCUUUCUGAUCCUUUCCGUGUUCGGAAGCAUUAGCUGCUAGGCCCAGGAAGGCUUCUUCAGUCAGGUGGGGCAGAUCGAGUCAUCCCUAAAUUGUGAAAGUCUUCGGAUCGAAUGUAGGGCUUGAGUCAACUACUCAAUUUCAUGCCCAUCCCACUCCGGAAGUUAGGGGAUCGGAGCGAACAACACGUCGAAUCUCUGGUCCCGGGUCAUGAUAGGCAGGAGGAGAUCUUCUCUCUCUCUAGUUCCGAUUCGAUCGAAUGAAAAAAAAAGCCUAAAAACUCAAGCAGGGAGUCAAGAAAAGUUCUUCUAGGCCCUCCGAACUCUUAGCUGCUACUGAUCCUAUAAAUCCAACCUCUCCGAUCGAGUCGAGACCAGCAAGCAGCAAGCGGGGGAGAGUCGACGUGUUGCCGUAGCGCGCGUACUCUUUUCGAGCGUCGUUACGUAAGAGGCGGAAUUCUGCUUCCAAUUUUGUACAACAAUCCGACCAAGAAAAAGAAAGGGCUUAUUCCUUGAGAUCCACGUACAAAUCAUUGGCGACAUCUCUCAAAGUUGCAGGAAAGAAUCUGACCGCCUGAUCAAUCCGUCCUGCUGUCCAUUGAGUCUCGCAAAUAUUUGCAUGUCUAACGCGCUGAAAGUAGGAAAUUUGUUGCGGACAUACAGAUCGCGCCCCUGUGGGUUGGGCCAACGUAUUCACAGGGAGGUUUGCAGAUUGAGCCAACGUAGUCGCAGAAAGGUUGUCAGGUCCUGGUCACAAGGUUGAUCGAAGAAGGUCCUCGCUUCCUCGGAGGAGUUGUUAUUCGGGGACGAAACUGCGGACUGCUUAGAAAGUGCCUCACAAGAGGGGUACCGAACAUCUGAAUUCUUCCAAGGGUGAGAAGCUUAGCAGCAUCGCCUUUACAUUUUGAUUUCGCAUUGAAGAGGUGCUAUGGCGGAGCAGAAUAGUGUUAAAACAACUAUGGAAAAGUAAGUGCAGCAAGCUUGCUGACAAGCCUUGCUGACGGCAAGAUCUACACACGAAAUACAGAAGAAGGGUUAGGAACAAUGAACCAAGAAUUGCUUACAAUAGAAGAGAAGGGCUAUUUACAACAUUUGUCAGCUGCAAGGUUUAGAGAAAGACCCCUACCCUUCUCGAAGCCAUAGGGAAGGAAGUUUUGGACUUGAAAGCGACCAAAACAGCAAGCAAAUGGGCUUUUUAAAUAGGCCUAAACCCGUGGGCAACAGUCAAGUCUGAAUUGGGUUUUUACAAAGGAAGGCCUCAAGCCAACUCAUUUGAAAGAAAGAAAAAAAUGGGUUAUAACAAACUGAAGCUUAAAUAAAAAAGGACCUUAUCAAUCCUGUUCUAAACUCACUUCAGCUACAGCAUUUCAGAGAUCCAUAGGAGUUCUUUGUCUGGGCCAAUUUCGUCCAUGGCGAAUUAGAAAGGCUGAUCUAUUACUUAUUAUAUCUUUUUAAGGCGGGUUUACCUCUUACCCGUUGACUAUGACGGAAGGACCAACUAACUCUCCUACGUAUACUUCCCGAGGGGAGGGACUAUCCAAGCAAAACUAUCAAACAGAAGUGAGGCAGAACGUCUAGCCGCAAAGUAUGCUUUGACGGAAUUGGCACCGGACUUUGUCCACUAAGGAUGAUACUCCGAGUUCUCAUUCUGAGUUUCCCACGAAUCCACAAUUGAAGAUAUGAAGGAAUGGGCCGAGUUGUUGGACGAAGAUAAGAAAACAACCCCUUACCAUAGUAGGGCUAUGUUCACUGGAACUAUACGGUUAAAAAAGUCGUAUUUCGAAAUCUUCGACUGGGCCGGAUGGACGUAAUAGACGCGAUUUCGUAACAGAAGGCCGCCGAAUCCGACAUUCGAAUGAUUUGGAACAAUCCGGAUGAGUUUGAUUAGAUGACGUUAGUCUGGAUCGUUCGGAGCAAGCAGUAAGUCCCUCCUUCCAACAAGACUACCUUAUUGGAAUUUGAGUCUGGUGACCUUGUGUAUGAAUCGAGGGAAGGGCGGCUACUAAACGUUAAAGCAGCCGGCUCCCUCCUUCUUUGCUUUUUUUGGAGAGGAAAAGAGCAUCGCAGCCGGCCCGCCCCCUCUUUCGAAGCAAUCCUUGGAAAAGAACAAGAGGACAUCAGAGAAUAAGGUGCAGAAAGCAGAUGGAGCACUUCCCCAUGGCUCGAGGAGGACAGUGAUAUUAAUAGAAGGACAUGGCACAACAAAGUGAAGACAGUUGAAAAGGAGUUGGUUUUCCGCAAGAAGAUACGAAGGCUUUGGAUUUAAUAGAAACUCUUCUUGACUACAUAGCGAAAUUGCUACCCAGGAGUAAGGUAAGGACUUGCAGGACUCUUUCGCUGAAAGCUGCUCGUUACCAGCAGAUCAAGAAGGCCACAGAGAGAAGAACAAGAAAGAACCGCAAGCAGGGCAGAAUGCUGUGGGAGUGACAAGUAAGCCACAAACACUUUUCUGUCAUGUAUGCUAUUCAAAAGAAACCGAGGCAAAAAAGAAGAAAAAUGGUUCAAAACACCCAGCAGCAAGAACUCCUUCUAAAAGCCACCAUUAGUGUGUAAGAACUCCCUGAAUGCUGUCCACUCAAAACACAGUUUUCUUUUAUUACAAUUUUGAACAGUAUAACGAGCUACAAGAACGCUCAAUUUGAUUCUUGCAGCGGAACUUUUCUCUUCCAUCUUUUCUUAAACAAACGGAAAAAGAUCGCAACAAAGACAGACUUCAACAAACCACCUAAAUGGGCCAAUUACACUGAUCUACGCAUAAACUAAAUAACAUGCAAGCAAGAGAGAAGGCAAAAAAAAAGAAUGAGCUUACCCGGUUGAAUGGCAAGUGCAAGUAAGGAGAGCAGUCCAACUCAGUGGUUGAUCUUCUAAGUGAAGACCUAAAGGCAUAGGCUGAGGCUACGGACACAGAGACAGAGGCAGCAUCCUACGCUAGCAUUACAGCCACUCAGGUUAUUCGUUUCAUAAAGCAGCAUAUCAUCUGUCGGUUUAGGGUACCAGAUAAUUACCGACAAUGGCUCGACAUUUAGUGAAUAGGAAGGUUAGAGACUUCACUACUAAAUUUUUUUUUAACCAUAAAAAAGUCCGCCGCAACUCAUCCUCAGACAAAUGGAGCAGUAGAAGCAGCUAACUUCACUCUGAUUAUCAUUCUCGAAAAAAUGACGAAGACCCAUCGUGAUUGGCAUGAAAUGUUGCCCUUCGCUCUAUGGGCAUAUCGUACUUCCAUUCGUACACCCACAGGAGCAAGACCCUUCCCUUUGUUCAGAACAGAAGCCAUUUUGCCUGUUGAGUUGGAGAUUACCCCACAGCGUCUUCUGUUAGAAGAUUAAUGUUGUGAGGAAAAAAAGAAUGACAACAGGCUAGCACAAUUGGAUUUGCUGGAUGAGAAGAGGAAAGGGGCAUUGAAUCAUUCACAGAGUUACCAGCGCCGGAUCACGAGGGCUUAUGCGAAGAAAGUGAAAGUCCGAGUAUUCAGUCCAGGAGAGUUUGGUAUGAAAAGUUAGAGACGCCAUUCGAAUGCACGCCACUGACUCGAAGUUUGCGAGGAACUAUGAAGGUUUGUGGUGACCGAGGCGUUUACCAAUAGUGUAUACAAACUCCGAACCUUCGAUGGGCAACCCCUUCCGGGCAUUGUAAAUGGCGAUUGGUUAAAGAAGUUCUAUCAAUAAGAAGAAUACCCCGUUUUCGAAAUCUCUCGAGUGUUGUUGUGUUUUUCGAGUCUUUCUUCUUUGUGUAGCCUUAGUAUAAUUGUUGAAUGCUAUGCUCUGUUCGAAUGUUCUUAUAGCUGAAGACUGAAAUCCUGAGCUUGUAGCCGAGACAGGGGACCAAAACUUUAUGUCUGAAAAACAGGGCCUCUCCCUCUUCUGUGCGGGCCUCUUUACCGCUUGAGCUUCUAACUGAUCUUGUUGGUGCUUUAUGUAUGGCUAAGGUUAGGGCUCUAUGUGAAAUUCCAUCAUGGUUUGAGAGAAGGGUAAGAUUGUCUAUACUAAAUAUAAAGAAUCCAAAUCACUCACUUUCCACCUAGCAAGAGAAGGCAAGGAAAAUGAAGAUAGACUGGCGAUAACUAAAAAUAUUCUACUCGCAAAGCAACCCGAGAUCAAGAGCCCGCCUAGAAAGCACUUUUGAGACCUAGAGUACUGGAAAAAAACCGUAGAUCGAAAGGGCCUGGACUCUCGUUAACUUUUAGGUAGGGGAUAGAUAAUAGAGCUAGGGACAGGGCUUUAGUGAGUGGACCGAUCUGCGCCCUACUCUCCAAUUCCUAAAGGGACCUUCUUAAGGAAGUGAAAGCGCCUGCGCAUCUUUUCAUUUAGUUAACCCUCUCCGACGUCAAAUUAUGCUAUUUUCACUCUAGGUAAGUCAAGUCCAUCUCGUUUUUGAUAGAAAUGAGCAGGAACAAGCUGAAGCUAAUGAGAAUAAGAAAGACGGAUAUAUAUUAUUCUCAUUCCAAAGAGUCCAUCAGUUAGUCUCUUUUGCCGAUAGAUAGAAGUUCCGGGAUGGGAUAUUGAUUGGAAUAGAGGAUUUCAUCCGCCUAUAAGUCAAUCAUUCUCUUGCAUGCAAAUACUUAAGAACCUAGUGGAUUUAGAUAAGGAAGAAGGUCAAAUAAAAGCAGAAUUGAUACCUGCUUGAGAACCCGCUACUAAACUAAUGUGUCCUCUGCUUCUGGCUUUGGUAAAUCACAACAGGCUAAUCUGUAACAUUCAGCUUCAGAAUUAGGAAAACCAGCAAUCCCAUAGUUACUCUAUGUUGGUGCCACGGAUUCCACCCCUACUAGCUACCAUAUAUAUUAUAAUGACUACGCCUCUACUAUCCCAACAGUACUUGCUAUAUAAUCAUAGCUCGAUGAGAAUUUCCCAUAACAGUAGAUAUGAGAUUUGCGCACGGGACACAGAGGACUGCUUUCUUUGGUAUUCAAUUGACUGGGCAGAUCCUUCUCGGUUAGAUAGAAUGAAUAAAGAUGCGCAUUAGCCCAAUCGAAUUCUGAUCUGAAGUUGAAGUGAAUAAAAAAAUUUGAUGAUGCAUGGUCGACCGACCCUGAAUGGAAUGCAGCACUUCUUAGUGGCGAUGAUGAUGUAGCAGAGAUCCCUGUGUUUGGAGAACACCACAAUGCAGCAGCUGAAUAUUCUUGGAAAAGAUCUUUCCAGUAUAACAUAGCAGCAUACUCAACUGACUGUAAAUGAAAACUAAAGGAUGAAACUUUCUGUAAAUCAGAACAAAGAGACUGACUUUUUUAGUGGACAGUUUCUGAUGCCACAGAAAAAAGGUAGCCAGCAAGGGCACUUUAGCCUUAGGAGGACAAUACCAACAAUUUCUCUGAGCUGCUGCUGGGUAAAUCAUCUUGUCUGUGCUGCAUACAACCUAGUGCUCUGCUCCUCCAUUAUAAGAUAACGUUAAAGAUUAGUAAGGGCCACUUUCUUCUGUCUAUAUUGAAGUAUAAAAGGGAAGUUUUACCAGAAUAAUUCAAGUGAGGAAGGUUAAGGCAAAAUGGAAGAUAGAAGAUGUACUUAAUAUACAUAGAAAGAUUAUACUUUGAACCUUUCUAUGUAUAUUAAGUACAUCUAGUCUAGCAUAUGGGGAAGAUAAGUCGGAGUGAAAUGAAAUGGUUAGAAGGAAACGGCAGAAAGGGAAGAGUAGCUGCUCCGUGCAAGAUCCUUCCGGAUCGAGACCAUGGUUUUUCUUUCAUUUAGAAGAAGAAUCCUUAGGCUGAAAAGUGAAAAUCAAGUAUAAAGCCCUUUGACUACUAAUUCUAUGCUAUGGAAAGCAACAAGAACAAGGAACUUAUCUUCUUUAAAUGAUUUCCCAUAACCAAUCUUGCCUGCUGCUGCGGUAAAGGCUUUUCUUGCUUCUGAGUAGAUCAUAGAUUCCGUUGUGAACCCUAACUAUGCUCUCGGAGUGGUAACUGAUAGAUAGAAUUUCUUUUUAUAAGCCUGAGGAGUGGCUCGCAUAAAGCAAGGAUUUAUGACCUCUCGUGUAUUUCCAAUUUGAAAUAAUAGAAUUUUUGGAGAAUUCUUUCUUUUUUUUAAUAAAGUAGAUUUGUAAUAAUCAAAAUAGAUCUCGUCCACUGAAAGUGCAGCAAACCUAUUCUCUUAUAUUACUUACCACCUGUAUCUCGAGAAACGAAAACAAAAAAUGACAAUCCAUUCUAUAGUUUGUACUAAAUUACUUAGUACGAACGCACAUCUCGGCCGUCGGGUAGCUGCUCACCAUUUCAAAGUCUAUAUCUGUGGUUCCAGAAAUGGAAUUGCUAUUCUCGAUUCAGACAAGACACUGAUUUGUUUACGAAACGCUUUUCAUUUUAUAGGAUCUCCCAUUCGUCAAAAAGGCCGUUCCUUCUUUUUAAAGACCGAGACAUUUAUUAUAUAUGAGAUAAUGGAAGAAAUGGCGAGCUGUAUCAAUGAUUCUCAAUGGAGGAUCGGGGCUUUUUUGACCAAUUCUUGUUCAAGUCCGAAAAAAAUCCGUUCGAGAAAGAAGAAGAUCAAUUUAGGGUCGAACCAACAACCUGAUUGUGUCGUUAUUCUGGAUGCAGAUAGAAAGUCUUCGGUCAUACUGGAAGCUGAUCGAUCACAAAUACCUAUUGCAUCCUUAGUUGAUUCUACGAUCCCAUUGGGAUCCUAUAAAAGAAUCACUUAUCCCAUUCCAGCGAAUGAUCCUAUACAGUUCGUAUAUCUAUUUCGUCAUUCGAUCACGAAAACAGUGAUUCUUGAACGGGGAAGAAUCGUUGCGAUGAAGGAGAAGAAAGAACUCAUCGAUCGACCUUUUCCAAGAAGAAUUGGUUUUUUUGAUCGGUCGAGUGGUCAAAUACCCAGCUAGUGGGACCAGUUUAUGGAUUGAACAAGAAUAGUACGACUUCGGGCUGGGCUGGAUGGAACAAGUGCGAGCCUUUGACAAUCUUCGUACACAGCAGCCAACGUCCCGGGGCGGGGCGCUCUGACGAUGAAGAGAGCAAACAAAGGCGAGUUUGAAAUUUGCAUUUGUAGUCUUGUUGCACGGUAGAAGAAAUUCUAUCGUCGCCCUAUCUGAAGACGUAAGGCGAGGCCCUGUUUUUGCAAUGGAACAGGAGAAAGGGGAGUGUGGCGGGCGGGCACCUUGCGCACAGGCGUCACAAUAGAAAAGAUAAGAUGAAUGCAAGAGAUAGAAAGGCCUGCGGACCCUAUCACGAUCUUGAUCACGAAACUGAUAAUCUCUACCAUAGGCAUCAGACUAUGAAGAAGAAAUACCAAAGCCAGCAGAUGCGAAGCCAGGUGCAAAGCCAAAGCCAAAUGGUGCCGACAACAAAAGACCUUGUCAGGUGCUGAUCGAACUAAUCUACUAAUGGUGGUUGAUCAUAUGCUGCUACUUCUGCCUUUUCUAGUGAUGGUAAACCAACUGGUUAUGCCUUGACGACUGAUGCAUCCGGCUCUCGAUCUAGAGCUACUGGUUCAACAACUGCUAUUGGCGGUUGUAGUGGUGCUUCAAUAACUUCGUCAAUAGCAUAGCCUAUAUCAAAAGCGUCAUCGACUGCUGGUGUGGGUUUACUGGUCUUGGCUAUGCUUAUACCUUGGCUUCUAUAGGAUCUGUACUUUGAUAUGCUACUGUUGGUACUCGUACUGUCACCCUCGUAUCUGCUGGAUAUGGAUAAAAAUCUUUGGUCUAUACUGGUUAUGCUUAAGGAACUGUAACGUCGUCAACUGGUUCUUCGUUCUUCAACUGGAUAAAGGACUAGCUCCGGUAAUGCUAUUGGUACGGAGGGAUCUACUACUGGUUCUUUGACUGGAUCAACGUAUGGAUAUGCUUCUUGCUCUGCUCCAGCAACCCUAGCUUAUGGUUCAGGUCCCACAAGUGGGUAUGUGACUGGUGCGUUCUUUUUACGUAUUAGCUACUUAUGCUCCUAUUGGUGUUGAUACUAGGUAUGGAUCAACUGCUGGGUCUUGAUCUAAGACUGGAUCUGCUGCUAGGUCUACUGCUUGCUUUGCUCUUGCCAUCCUUGCCUCUGUUGCUAUUAGGGCUGGUUCUCGAUCUGGAACAACUGACUCUAGUACUGGUGCUUGCUUUGCUUAUGGCGUAUAUGGAUCACGAAGGUCUGGGUCACGCUCACGAACGUCAGAAUCAGGCUCUCGAUCACUACUCUCAGAAUCUGGAUCUCGACCGAAGCAAGCAGUUUGAUACCCAGCGGAUCCCGCAGAGCCAGUAGCGUAGCUAGAAGUUUUUCCUUUCUUUGUCAGUUGUAGAUUCCGUUAAAGAUCCAGCAGCAGCAAUUGUUUAACUGAGUGAUCCAGAUGAUCCAGUUACAGUGCCAGAGCGAGUAGUGCCAUUUCACUUUUCGUAUUUUAACGCUUAUCACCAAGCAAAUGUCUUUCUGUAAACUGACAAUUAUGCCAACUAUAACAGUUCCUUGAUUUAGAAUGCAUUUCCCCCGUCGGGGGGCAGGAUCAUGUGCACGGAGGGACAGGCGGUCCCUCGCGCUAGUAGAAGGAGAGAGUUUCAUUCAGGCUCUCUAUCGUCCAACUAGCCCUCCCUCCUGCUUAGUUGUCUACUAGGCGGAAAGCGUGCUCUAUUGCCCAUCCUCAUGGUAGGUUACUUUCUUUCCUCCAAUCCUCUCUUGGUGGAAUCCUUUGCCUAUCACACAGCUCUUUCGCUCUCACUGCGCGUGAUCCGCGAUCCCCGUUACAAAUAAAUAUUAUUUAUUUAUUUAUUAAUAAAUAAAUAAAUAUUGUAAAGUAAACUACCUAGCAUGGAAUAUAGACAUGAAGCAAGAAGCAAUUAAGCAUUAAAAAGACGCAAGUAAACUAGCAAUAUAAAAAAAAACUAAGCGAUCAAGCAUAAAGUGAGUAAUUAAGCAAGUUGGAAACCGGUGAUUUGGGAGGUAAAAGGGGAUUCCUGUUUUGGCUUGAAUCCGCUUUCCCCAGUGGAGUCGCCAAGCUGUAAAAGCAUAGCGAGCUCGUUAGGGACCCUAAAAUAGAAAUGGAGUCGCCACCUAAAAAAAAACGGAAAAUGAAAAGAAUUAUAUAAUGAAAGUGGCUAUCUUCCUUCAAGUGACAGAGAGGAUCGAGAAACCAUCGCCCAAAGGUGCUUUCACGAAAGCCGGUCUCCGGUGGUAAAGAACUUUCUUCACUCUAGAAGCCUUCCAAACCAUCCACUGGAUUUUAUUGUUCGUAAGGGAGGAAUAUUUUUGUGUUGUAUAUAAAAAAAGGACUUUCGAUUUAGCGUUGUAAUUUUGACUAAGUUUUAGAUAUUCCCUUUUUAAGUGAGAUUACUUUCCUAGUGACUGAAUCACUUGAAUCAGUUGAAGGAGACGAGGCUUCUGGCCCAGCCUGAGGGCGGGUCCCACUGGAGAGGAGAGUUUUUACUGCGGGAGAGGCAGGUCCGGGUUUCUGCAAUAGGGAGCAGAGCAGGUAGGUCUUCGGAACGCCACACUUUCUGAGCUUUCCCGCUCGCUUUCUGACACUGUCUUUUACCUGAGCACUGUCUAGCAGUCGGUCAAGUACAGGGUUUCAGCUAGUGUUUACGAAGUAGUAUAUCUAGGACUUAUGAGAACUGACAACAACUAGGCAACCACAGGAAUUCUCGUAGUUAAUUGAGUUAAGGGAGGACCAUUCGUGGGGGGUCGUGGAAGAAUUGGGUUCGAUUCCCAUUAUACGCGAUGUGGCGAAAAAGACUGAUUCAACGAGAUAUGCCAUGCCUGCAUUAAGAUUUAAAAUGUGUCGUCUACUUCCAGGAAAUGUUCGGAACAGAGAACUUUCUCUAAUACAACGCCGCAUUCUCCGAAGAUUGAGGAACAAGAGGAGAUCCAUUAAAAGAAAUCUUUCUCUGAGAGAAAAUCUAAACAGUAACAUCAAAUCACAAACUACACGAAAGUUGCCCCUUUAUUAUUGGGAUUUACCCAUAAGGGAGAUGCACAGAGGAAGAGAACGAACUUCAUAUAUCCCUUUUCUACUCAAUCAAGAAACAAGAUCGGACGUGAUUCCGGUUCGUCUCCAUUUUAGUGACACUCUUCCUCAAGCAAGGCAGCCGAUAAGUCAUCGAAGGGUUUGUGUGAAUAAUAGACUGGUAAGCAUUACUCAUUUGAAAGUUUCCCACGGUGAUCUAAUAUCUUUUCAAGAAAAUUACGCGAGAACCCGCGGUGAAGAAAUAAGGAGAUCUUUCUAUAUCGACAUAUCAGUUGGAAAAAUCAUAGGCAAAUUCCUGCCGGUCAGAAUGUGGAGAAGAACCAAAACAGAAUGGUUCCGCCUACUCAAAACUCAGAGGGGGUGCCGCCUACUACUAAAAUCCCGGUUUUUGCAAGAGUUGCGUUCUUCUAUGCAAGAAGAAGACUUAGAAAGAACAAAGAAGUUUGGAUCCGAAAAAGUAUGCUUAGGCAGUUCCUUCGCUGAGCACAACAGAAUGAAGAGGAAUUUGUUUCAUUUCAAAUACUUCUUCUUAUUGAAGAGAAGGAACGAGAAAAACCGAAAUCUUCCUACUCGAACAAUAAGUCCUUUUGUUUACAAGUCUUCUUUAUAUAGUAAUUCGACCUAUUGCUCCGGAUCCCCGUUUACUAGGAAGAUAAGAAUCAAAAGGAUCGAACUACCUACUCAUUAUUCGGAGGUGAAUCAUAGAACACCAAAAGCUUUGGUAUAUUAUGGACCUAACAUCGGUCACAUCCCUCACGACAUAAGAUUGAAAGAUCCAAACCUUCCUCUUCGAAGCGGAAACGGACGUGGCCAAAACACAUAAGAAAAGAUCGGCGUAGUCGCUCAUAGGGACAUAUCUAUCCGGAUAGAGGAUAGUAACGAUCUUAUAGAUAGAUCUCUCUCUAUAUAGAUAGGUAUCUCCGUGGAUAGAGAUAAAGAUAGGGAUCCCCAUAUCAAAAUUGAUUUAGAAAAUAUAUAAAAUGGAAAAAGUGCACUUUUUGACUACUACUUUAAUUCAUUUUUUCCUUGAUUCUGAUUGAUUGCCUUUUUGACUACUACUACUAUGUCUUAUACUUAAAGCAAGGAAACCUCGUUUUUUCCAUUUUUACUGAAUUGGUCGGAGCGUAGACGAGCGAGCAGAGCCCAGGAAAGAGGUCAGACCGUCAUAGAGCAGUCGACUAGAAGUAGAAGACUGCUGGCCUGAGAGAAGGCAGUCUCUCUCGGGAAACAUGGCCCAAUUUCUCUUCUUUCUUUUCACACGGGCAACAUAGGGGAAUAAAAAAGACCAUGAACAUUUGUCAAAAAUGGAAAAAAACGGAAGAUUAUCUUCUUUUUUUUACAAAGGAGGACAAGAGAAAGAAGAUCAAAAAAAGAUUUUUUUAGGAAGUUUUUAUGUGUUAUUUACUACCUUUGGGAAGAGUUUUCUACUUAUAAAGUCGACGUUCUUGACAAGUCCCAAGUGGAGGAGAUUAAGAGGUCAUUAAUGAAUUCUUCCUUUCAGUUCUCUUCGAUGUAUCGAUCAUGCAUUCCUAAACCACAUAAGCCGGGGGAGAUGCGACCCAUUACACAGCCCCAUAAGGCAGACAUCAUUGUCAUGGAUGCGGCUUUUGAACAUCGUUUUUGAAGACAUCUUUCUAACGUACUUCCAUGGGUUUCGAAAAGGGAGAGGAGUCAUCACCUUUUUCGCUCAUGUUCCAAAAUUGGGAAAGGUUGAUAGACUCAUUCAAGCAGAUAUCGUUGGUUGUUUUAAGAAUAUUUUUUUUUCAUAUUCGACAUUUGAACAUUAAGAGCGCAUAUUGGGCAAGGUAAUGAUGCCUUCUGUAAUCUGAUUGAAGCUACUGAUAUCAAAGAUAAGAAUCGAAAAAGUGUUGCAUUCAUUGAAAAAGGAAUACAGCGGGGAAGCCCCUUAUCUCCAGUUCUUAUGAAUAUCUUUUUACAUAAACAGAUCAUUUUCAUAUUUUUAGUCAAAAGAAGGAAUUUUGGUAUGUAAGAUAUGCAGAUGACUUACUAUUUGCUAUUAAGAAGGGGCCAGAGUCUGAAAGGGUAAGCCAAAGCUUCCAACAGAUGUUUCAAGAGUCUUUGGCCGAGCUCAAACUCUUUUCAAAAAGCUUGGAACUCAUUCGCGAAGUCAGUAAACCCUGCUAUACUCUAGUCUUAGGAGUACUUGUCUUGAUUCACUCAAACGGCAUCUUACUUAUGAAGGCACCCAUGAAAAAAUUCCUAAAGAGAAUGAAUGAAUUAUUCCUAAAAAAGAAAAUAAAAAAUCAUAAACAAAAGAAAAUGCUCAACCUUGAGGAAGUACUUCUCCCUAAGAUACAGACAUAUCUAGCUCUAUAUUGUUUUAGUCAAAAUGAGAAUGACGUCAUUGCAUACUUUAAAGACAUAGUCAAAAAAAGUUAUAGAACAUUUCGGCAGUUAAGAAAAGAAAAAUAUCAGAAUCAAAGGAAGAAGGACAAAAUCCUCAAUCUUUUCCUAGACCAGCUGCAAGAGUAGUAGCUUCUCAGCAGUCAAGGCGGAAUUCAUACAUCAACUACCGUAGUCGCUACACCUCAUAGUGAUGUCUUGCCCAUUUGACAAAGAAAGAGGACCAAGAAGAAGCGCUUUCCUGUCCACGCGAGUUCCCCCAUGGAAUAUGGAUCCUGCCUUGCAGACGAUUGUCGCCUUUCUAAAAGUUCUUCUCCUGCUCUUGACUCAUCAAGCCCUGGUGGCUGUUCUAGCCGAUCACGGGACCUACACCUAGCCUCUUUGUCCAAUGAAAAGUGAGAGGAUUCCCUCUCUGACGACUUCGGUGAACAAUGGGCAACUCCUACUACUGAAACCAGUGGAUACUGAGCCUCUUCCUCUCAUCUCUGGGCUGCUCUUGCUGGCUCUUCCCUUGCAAACGGUUCCCCUACCAAAAAAGGAGAAGGGCGUGGAGCUUCUCAACCAACAGAGAAGAGGGGAUGGAACUACGUCUUUCAUCCCGUAUAGGGUGAUUGAGGGAUGGAGCUGUUCUCUUGAUGGAAGAGAGUAGGGCCCUGGCUGAGCCUGAGUUUGUUCCGAUGUUCUGUGUACGAGGUUAGCUUGCUGAGCAUCUUCUUUUUGCAUAGGAACCCGAAUCAGCCGCGCUUGCUAUCUUUCGCCGAUUUCCAAGGCAUCAACCUUUUGUUGUGACGUCAAAUCCCUUCCUUCUUAUUUUGUAUGGGAUCCGAACUAGGCUCUCAGAAGCAAUCCAUGCUUUCAGAAUGAAGAGCCCCGUAGGCAAAUUGGGAUUCCCGUACUCGUCAGUUUCACUGAAGACUGACAGCCAUGUUCGAGACCAACAAGACAAAAGAGAACGGAAAUCAUCGUCAACGGAGGAUGUUUCAUUCGAAUUCCCCAAUCGGCAUUCACACACAGAACAGAGAGAUUGUACGGGAGGCCAUGUCAGGAAAAGUGUCUGACCUUCACCUGAGUGCCAUCGUGAAUUGAAGUUGAAGAAGGACGCCCUCUCUAGGUGAAUCAUGCAAUUCUAUACGAAUCAAGCGUAGGCUCCUCCCUCUUGCUUCUUCGCGGACUGACUUUGUCUCGGCUAAGGAUGUGGAUCAAAGACCACUGACGCAGUCUAAAAUGACUAAAAAAGCCUCAUGGCCAAUGGGAGCAUUGAGUUUCCCAAAUGGAGGUAGACCAUUCUGGAUCGCCAACAGCACGCACUUGCAGCCUUGGUUGGUAGGAAUCAGUGGAAAGCCUGAUUGAGCAUUUCGAGAGCCAGGAGUGAGGUCAAGACUCGGUCAGCAACAAGAUCACCUCCUUUUGCAUCUGUCUCCCAAGCUGAGCUUCCCAGUCAGUCGGUCAAAGACAACUCAAGGAAGAACUCAUCCUUCAGCCACUGAAUCGAAAGAAAAAAGGGUUUUUUGUGAGUGGAUAGCUAAUCAAGAAAAAUAAGAAGAGAGCGAGCUGCCACCUUGCGUUCCAUAAAGAGGAGGCUGACGAGCAAGUCCAAUGUCAAAAGAAAUGGUGCUUUCAGUCUCAUUUGAUUCGAAUCCAAAUCAGCGAGUUCUCGUCCCAUACUCAAGUCUGACUUCGAUCAUCGUCUCCCGUCUGCGCAAGAUGGAUUUGGCUUCGGUGAUUCACCAUUUGAAAGACGAGAGAACACGAUCGGCACAGAACCUUCAAAGUCCUUUUUUUCUUGGUAGGCAACGAGAAGGGAGAGGGAGGAGGGGGAUCAGUAAGAGAAAGACGUAAUGGACCGUAAAGGACGGAGACUCCCUUGCUUGAUUCAGUCAUGACAUGGAGCUUCGGCCAAGCAAGCAGGUGCCUUGAUUCAACUCCAUCGUUCCAUAGGGGAUCCUAACACCCGGGGGAAGACAUACAGUACGCAAACGACCCUCAUCACUCCUCCAUUGUAGCCCACUGCCCAGCUGUUCAUCCUAUACAAACAGUUUAGUGAUCCCAAAGAACAUUUCUGAAAGAGAUUAGCCAACUUCUAGAGAUCACUAUCACAAACAACUAUGUCUUACUCAUUGAACCCGGAGAACGCACGGAUUGAAUGGAAGCAAAGCAGUUUAUCUCACAGAGAGAAAUAUAGAGAAGAAAAUUGGGAACCGGGAUGAAGACCUCAUCAACCCGAGACCGAAAGGGGACGAGUCUCAUAUCGAAACAGGAUUCCGUAAAAACCCUGUGGACAGACACUCUUCUCUUGUUGAUAGGCGAGGGGACUUCCCUUUUUGCUCAUAAGUAAGCCACCUCCUUGGAUUUCCAUCCACAAACUAUCUUGUCUUGCGGUCGGCCCGGUUCUCUCUCUUUCCCAGCCGGCCCUCUCUUUCACGCUGGUGAAGCAGCCCACGCCUCUUACGACGCCAUCGCGCAGGGGUACGACGGGUUAGCCUCAGAAGGGCAACUUCUUGGAUAAGGCGUUAAGGCGGCUUUCUAACCCUCGGCCUAUCCGAUUCCGUGCGGAUUAACACCCUUUCGUUUCUAUCGAAGCCAGCCAACCAUAUGAAAGCAUUUGAUCGUCGCGGUUUAACCGGUCAGGGUCUAGCACUAGACCUGAAAAGAUAAGGGCUGCACUUCACGUUGAUGUCGGCUAUGCGCCUUUUGCAUCCGAUGACUCAGUUCACAGACCUAGUAAUCUAAAGGAAGGAGGCGGAUGGCCGGCUUCCCUCCUCCAAGUACCCUUACUCGGGCUUUGGUUGUCUGUCUUUUAGGCCGAAGAGGGAAGGUCAAAGUUUUCACCUGAUGGGGCACUAAUAGCGAUACACAUUCCCAGUGUCUCGAUAGCUCAUAGGCAGCUAGUUUUCGGACUCACAGGAGCCCUAUUGAGCUGCGCAAUCGCGCUUCUUUCGCCUUACUUACCGCGUAUCCAAACGAAUAGAUUGAAGAAGUCAAGUGGUUUGGUUGUUGUGCGCGCCGGAGGCCUACGGGGUAGCCGAGUUGCUUACGAGGGGUGCUGUACGCUAACGGUAAUUACCUCCCAGGAAGGGGAGCCGCAUAAAAAGAGACCCUAAACAGACUGUAUUAAAGCAGCAGUCGGACUCCUUUCAAGAAAAGGUAGUUGAAUGUGUUAGGCGAAGAGAAUAUAGCACGUAGAAGCUUAUAGAGUCGGUAGUUCGACGGCUUAAUGCUUGCCAGAGAUAGUUCUAUAGCCCUUAGGAUAAAGACAUGACCAUAGGAUUUCAUAGAAAGCGCCUUUGGGCUCCUCUGAAAUACCCACCAAAUUGUUUGUAUUCAUGUCAGGAUUUCGCGCUGAGGAGGCCUUCGCUCCGUUGGGACGAGCUGGUCGAGAUGUGGUGCCCAGUCACUCACAUCGGUGAGGGCUGCGCUAUGCCACCUGUCCUUACCCUGGGAGUACUGCUUUAGCAAAGCUAACGGUAGGUCAGACAGGUCUGGGACCAUCCUUUCAUAGGCUGGAGCAAACCUUGUGUUUACAUAGCGCAGCCCUUUAGUUGCAUGUUCAACCUAGGCAAGACCCUACUUGCUGGUUUAUCCAUCAUCCAAUCCACAAGAAAUCGGAUGAAAGCCUGAUACUUCUCACCUACUCAAACGAGAUUGAAAACUACCAUUCUGUCGAAUCGGAAAAGGUUUCGAAGAGCGCAGAAGGUCAGUUCGGUGGUAAGAUCUGAAGGGGAGAUUCACGGGUAACUUCGGAGGGUGGGAAAGGAAGAGCUGGUGUGGCGCGUCAAACGCCCUCACGCAAUGCCGCGCACAAGGAAGGGUGGCGAGUGGGAGAAGAAUUCCUCCCCUUUCAAGAAGGGUGUGGAUAGGGUCUAUAGCCAAAAGACAGAAGCAACUGGGCAAGCAAAUGCCGCUGCACAAAGAGCCAUAGCGUAGCUCGAGCCAGAGCUUUUGAGUUUUCCAACUAAGUUCCAGUCCGCCAAGGAGUGUGAGUCUUGAACGGAGGCAUCAAAAGCCGAACCAUAAAGACGCAGCACCACCUACUGUUUCAACCGUAGAGUCGACCGAAACAGAAGCCUUAGGCGAGAUAGACAAUGAAAGAAAGCACUGGACUUUUCUUUCUCAAAUACAAGAAAGUAGGCAUAGACAAUAUUUAGUAAAACAAAUCCACGGGGGCCCCGUAAGGCAUGGGUUUAAUAUCCUUUCAAAAGGACUAACUGAAUAACUUAGGUCGAGGUUUUUUUUCCUUUUCAAGGUAAGAGGUCAACUUAGAGCAAAGCAAGCUGACAAGCAAGCUUGCGAAGCAACCGAGGCAAGAGCGUGAAGCAGCUUUUCCCGAACCAAAGGAUCCAGGUUCUCUUGAAACAAAAUAUCCUGAUCCCUCAGCAUCAGGCGAUGUCUCAGUAUCAUCUGCAUCCAAACCAGAAUUUGACUCCGAAGAGGGACAACUCACUUUUCCAUAAUCACCCGACAAGUCGAAUCCAUAUCAUCAGAAUAGAGGGCAUAGGACUCUUUGCUUUGCCCUACUAUGAACUAGGAUCAGAAAAGGUUGGCUCAUAACAUAAACUCAAAGACGCCAGAAAAGCACACUUAACGCGGUUCAUCAGGUUGUUCAGAGGCUCCUUCCUGCCCCGCCCACCACCCUGCUUCAACAUAUCAGUUGUCAUUAGGAACUUCUUUCUCUUAACGAGAAGCUUCAGGCUUUUGUGUUUGUGGUCCUGUGUUAAAAGCUUGCUAAACGCGCGUUAAAAGCGAUUUUUUCACCCCUAUCGAGUAAGUUUAUCGCUUCUUUCGGAAUGCGCUGAAAGGCUCAACGCGCUCGUAUCUAGGUCGGGGGUAAUUCAACUGUAUAAGCAAGGCUCGGGAUAUGGGGAUAUGGAUUUCACCUUAUGGGGAAUAGGCUGAAAGAGCAACAGGCAACCAAGACUUAUGAAGUGCGUUCAGGCUCACUUUACACUAAAAAAAUGGGAACCCUAGUUCGAAAUAUGAAACGACGUUUGCAACAGGAGAGUCGGCGAAGGGAUCAACAGUCUUCCUUCAGUAAAGGCCCAUCCAGGUGUCUUCGCCCACCUUUACAUAUGCGAUUGUUCGCUCGACCUGGCUGCCCAGUUACGAAAUAUAUAGCUAUAAAAAAAGCUAGAAAUAGAACUCAACUUAGUUGCUCAGUCUCUAGGAAUUCCCAAGCGUUAGCGAAGAAAGAAGCCUACUUGAAGAAGGCUGCCAAGAGGAGCAAGCCCACAUCGAGCAAGUUGACUUACUUUAUGUUAUGUAAAGAGUUCGCUAUUACGGCCCAGUUCUUCCACGAGCGAAGGCCCGUCAAAUUGGUCUCAAAGAUUUUCAAGGAAACCCAACCCCUUCCUCUCUUCCCCUCCUUCUAUCCAAAGAAACUUUCCCAGCUGUAGUAGCUGUUCUCUUCCCUUCCAUCGAUUGAGCUUUCUCUCGCUUAAUUCAAUAGGGCCUUAGUAGACCGGUUUUAAUUCGACAACUCGAUCGCUUCUUCCUUUGCUGGAAUUGCCAUCUUUGCUGCUCUCGGCUUCUGAAUUCGUACCUUUCAAUAGCCAGUCUAGAAGCCCUAAUGUUGUAAGGCACGUGACUGCAUUCCUAAAUUCUAUCUCUGCUUCCUUCACUGCUUCCCGAAACUGACCUGCUUACACUGCACUGCUUCUUCCAACAAUACUGGAAGUGGGGCUGCCCUAUAUGGUCAAGCCAAGCAAAAAGGGAGUUUCCUCUUUGUAUCCUCUAGUCUCAAGAGUUUCUUUCAUCUUCGAUAGUCUGGAGAUAGUGCAUUAGCCUCCGUUGACCAAUUUGAAGCUUAUGAAAUCUCUUUCACAAAGAAGAGUCUUCAAUACUCAUUUUCUUUUUCAAGUGACCGUAUGGGUGGUCUAUCAAGACGAUAACAUAUCCCCCAAAUAGUGGCUUAGAAUUGAAAUGCGAAUAUAGCAAAAAACCAUUAAUGAAAAUCACUUUUCACUCUAGAAGUCCUCAAUGGAAGCUAUUCAAAUUUCGCAGAAUAUUGCUUAGUGCUCGACCUACUUAAUGGGAUACCGGUUGAGAAUUAGGCCAAUUUCCUAUUCGGGAAAGCAGACUCAUUCGUUGUCUUAACAAGUUUGAGGCCAUUAUCUCUACUUGAGCAAUCAUUAAUUUAUUUUGAUAAAAAAAGUGAUACCCAGACCGGACGACUUCUAGCCCAGGUCCUACUACCAGUCCGGAGACAAUUGAAUUACCUUCUUAUCAUAUCGAGCCUUUGUCACGAUUUCAAGUAAUGAGUUCGGGCUUCUGUCUGUUAAGGUCUCUCUGAACAGAGCUCCACAACUAUCAAAGGAAUCUCCCCUGACAGAAAGGAGUCCCACAGUUGAUUGAGAGUUUCGAGAAUCUUCGAUAGGAGAAAGAAAAGCAUUAGCCAGUACCAGUACCUGAAUAAGCAGCAGUUGUUUCGACAGCUUGGAUUGGAAUCUCGAAUUCUCAACGGUAAUCCCCCUCUAUUUUCAUCUCGACAUGAAAAGUCAGAGGGACUGAAAGACUCAUAAGGUUAUAGUGCGGGAUCAGUUCCAUUUUCAUAGUUAAAUAAUCUAAUCUACUUCAAAUAAAGACAAAAGGGAAUCCACGGUGACAGAGAAAGAUGAAGCAAAGAAAGCGCAUAGCGUGGCACCCCGUAACAAUGGAAUUGAGCUUGGCCCUGUCUCGGCCUUAAUAAGCAGUUGAAUCCUCUGCAUGAGGAAGUCACCUCGACAUCUUAGAAUGUCGGUAUCGAGGAAAGACAGAAAUAUGGGUUAAUCAACAGUUCCCAACAGAGAUAGAUUUUGUGAAUCUACAGACAGAUAUGGUUUUUGAACUGAGCCUGUUCCCACUCGUAUACCAGCCAAAGUUAGGUAAAGAGGGUUUCUUUGGCUUCUGAACUUAAAAGUCUCUUCUUUCUCUUAGGGGAAGCCCAAAGCUAGCUAUCUCUUCCUUGCUCGACUUCCCGACUUGCCUUCAUGAAUCAAAGUUUAGCCCGAUGAAUGACAGGUUUGCCUUGUGUUGGGACGGUAGGCAAGGUUCGGUACUCAGUUCCAGGCGGUUUGUUUUCCAGUAAGGUACUCAAUCAAGCCGUUCAAGCAAGCGGAUCGUAGAAAAACCACUUCUCUUGUGUGUCCUCCUUCUCAUGGGAGUAGGCACCAGUCUCAGGGAAAGCGGCAGGGGCUUCGGCUGUUGGAAACCCGGACACUGCUCCUGCGCAAUCAGAGAAAGAAGAAAGGUAAUCCAUCUCGACAUUCUGAGGGCUAACUCCUAAAGCAAUCACGGUAAGUUCACUUCGGGAAUCAAUACAAUAAGAUCUUUUCACUCUUUUUCUCUAUCAGUCUACCCCCGUAGUCUUCCGAAGGUGUAUUAAGGGUAGAGCUUUACCCGGACCGCAAUUUCUGACGUGAGAAAGGAAUAGCGUAAGGUCCGACCUUUUUCAUCUAAGGGGUAAAUAAGCUGUUAGGACCGAGGGCAGCGGUUACAUCCCGGUAGUCAGCAACAGCGGUUCAGUGUCAAAUGAAAGCUAAGCGGGAAGGCUACUUCACUUCAGACAAUCAGGCAGAAGCAGCGGUGUCGGGUUCCUUCCUUUCGCCAAUAGACUAGACCAGCUACUACUACUACUACGAAAAGUAAGAGCUCAAACUCCUAAGCACCACUACUCCUAUAAAAAAAAGUUGCUUGCUUAUUCUAUUCUUCUGGAUGUGCUCCACAUUUCAUUCGCUUUCCUUUCACAUCGGUCUUACAAGGCCCUUUCUUUCUUCGGUGAGUUGCAAGAGGGGUUUUUUUUAUGGGGAUAGGUAAGGAAAGAUGACUUUGGGAGGAAUUCGGGAUCGGUCAUCGAGGGGGUAGUGGAUGGAGAUGACGACUAGUAGGAGAUGACAACUAAUGGAGCUAGCUUUCUUCUUUCUGCUGACUAAUCAUGGACUCAGAGCUAAACAACUAUGACUCGUAUGAUUUGCUAACACAACGGAUGGUUUCGAAAUAUUUCUCGCCGGGUUCUGGCGCUGUCCCCCGAGUUCGCCCGCUGAAUCUGCUGCUCGCUGAACAAGAUGCCUUCUCAGCAAUCAGUUCCAGUCCCUUGUCUUUCAUCAUUAUGCAUUCAACGCUUUCGAAUGAGUCGGUUCAAGCAACUCAUAAACCCAAUAUCAAAAGUUUCACCCAGGUAUACAUAUCCUUACCUCAUCUCUGGUUCAGGACCAACCAUGCACUCACAGCCACUACUCUCUUCUUAAGCUUGCAGUAGUGCCGUUGCUCUAGUAGUCCAACCAUGCAGUAGCAUACCAAUGCAGAUAUCGGAGAUGAUACUCCAUCCAUCUUUCAAAAAUCUUUCAAACAUGCAAUCUGCAUCGUCACCAUAGAAAGUACGAAUCCGAUCAAUUUCAACUUCAUUGAAGUUUGAUGGACGUACACGCUCCAUGAUAAACGCCCUUACCAUUCCAUACUGCUCUGCAGUCAACACUCCCAAAUCUGGAAAUGCUAACCAAAACUUCAAUGGUAAAGGAAGUCUGCCAGUCGGCGAAAACAUUAAGAGAUAAUGGCGCUUCCAACGUUUAGAUGUCGGAAGACCUUGACGUGAGUAGACCUUAUAAGAUCCACCGCGUAACCUGUACGAACACAGCAAAUUGACUCGCAGCUCCGAAAACAGGAAAGUGGAAACUCCAGAAGAGAGAGUACGGAGAACCCGAAGGGACACAGGACUAAAGUCAAGUGUAACCUUAUAGACCAUAAAUCUCUUAGCAAAUUCUAGAGCACUCACGUUAGGGACGGACUUUUCUUUUGAUAUGGUCACCUCACACUCCUCCAUAACCUCAAGAUAUGACUUCACGACUACUGGAUCCGCGAUGACAUUGUCAUCGCCCAGUAGAGCAUAAUCAAAGAACUUCACCCCAGGGCGUACCCUCCAUGCUGCAUACCACACCAGCAUAUGAUGCGUGAGUGUGCCAUGAACUGUAAAACCCUAGAGUAGAGGUUGCCCCUUUGUAAACCGGAAGACAUAUAAUUGGGCGAAGGCCCCUUUUCUGGUAACCGGAAGCCAAAAGCACAUAGAAUAAGAUAAAUCCAUGACUCGGCUAAUCGACGGCCAAACAAACUAAACAAGACACCUCCACUUAAAUCUACCGGCAAAGAGUCGGUAGCAGCUUUGAGAUCGAAGGAAAACAAAUGACUUUGACCGAGCAAGGGGCGCGGUUUGGUUAUAUGUCCCGUCAGUCGGAAGACAAUGAAGCACAUCCAUCACCCGAUCAUGUAAAGGCCGGAAAAGCAAAAAAAAUAAUGAAUAAGACAAAGAAAGGACUUGGACACACCUAUCUCAAAUUAGUGAAGAUACCGGUGGUUAUGGGUAUGGAUCCACGCGAGAUGAUAGCUUUCUCGGGUUUUUGAACAGUUGCUGGCUUUAUUGAUUUACCUCUUGGUAAGGGGAAACUAGCGAAGGUUUUAUUACCUUUUCUUCCGUACACCUUUGCCGACACCGGUACCUCCUAUCAUUGGCACUCUAACUAGGCGAAAUGGUGAGGAAGCCGCUUCUGGGACCGUACGAACUAGAAGGAAUGAUGCUUGCAUAGGUGGGGGGCUGCCUCUACUUCUACAUGUGGUGCUACCUUCGCUGCUUUCAUUAGUCUUGGUUCUUCCAAAGUCGCAAUUAGGAUUGGACUUAGCGUUUAUCCCACAUCGGGAAUUCUCUCUGUUAUGUUGUUGUUUUUAGAGAGUGCGGGGGCCUUUGUCUCUAACUGAACUGUGAUGCCGUAGCUUCUUAUGCUGCAGCCCAUACCAUCCUAGCUUCCCAUACUUUUUCUACCGCUAAUAUGACUAGUGCCCAUACAGCCUAUGUCUUUGCUUCUUAUGCCUUUGUUGCCUUUAUCCCACUCGAAACUAACUGAGAUUCUGCUGACUCAGAUGCUGGUGGUCUAACUUGAAUGGAAUCUGAUCGAUCUCAAUAUGGAACAACUAUAAAGUAUAUGCAUAAACUCUUCUGCCUCUGCCGGCUCUGGAACAGGCUCUUGCUCUAGCUCCGUUCCUCUCCAACCUUUUCUAUCUAUCCUUAGAAGUAGGGCGAGUAAUAAGCUCGAUCUGGAUCCGAAAUGGACUAUGGAUCUCGAUCUAUUGGUCUAUGCGGGAUUCGCCCUCUUCUCCAGUCUCAGUUCUGGUUCGAACAGAUCCCUUUCCGCCUUUGAAUUAGCUACUACUACUACUGAUGAAUGCACCUUCGCUGCACUCGGCCGCUUUCAGGGGGAGUGGGGAUGGCAGGGAAGGGCAUAUCUUUGCCGUGAUCCCCACGUUCAACUGUUAAUCCGUACCUAUCCACCCGAUGUGAUAGAGCGAUACUCUGUUCGAUUCCCCUUUGAUCCGAUGCCUACUACCUAAUAGAAAGGCAGCCAGCAGUCCAUGGCUAGCUGAUAUAUCACGGUUUCACCAUCAGAGGGAGGAGAUGGAAAGAAAGGAGUCGAUCACCUAGCCGAUCCCGAAUAGCCCGAUCUUUAUUUCAUUUCAACCGAUCCGCCGGGUCAUAACCUAAAAUUAUAUAUAUUUAUUUUUAUUAUUAUUAUUAUUAUUAUUAAUAUUAAUCUAAUAAUAAUAAUAAAUAUUAUAAUAAUAUAUAAUAAUUAGAUUAAUUAAUAAUUACUUUGCUUUGAUUCUGAAUAUCUGCUUCGACUACUGGAACAUUUCUUAGAAACCAUAUUGACGGAUACUAAAAACAAACCUUUUUUUCUCUAUUCCUUACUUGUGGUAUCUUCAUUCAUUCAGUCAUUCCUUCGUUUUAUAGCCUGUUGUGCUUGUUUUCUUUUGCUUGUUCUGUUGGAACAUUGAGUAAAUCAACCUUAUUAUGUAAUAAUUUUUCAUUCAACAAGGUAUGGGUAUCUUCUCACUUAGCUUGACUAGACAGUUAGUUAGUUCAAAAGGAAAAAGAGUAAAUUGACUUCUAUUGAGACCUCUUCUUGGAUGAAGAAUCAAGUGACUUGUUAAAAGCAUACUUCUAACUCGAACUAUUUCAUUACGGAGUACCUCAAGCCCCGCCUCGCCGUUAGCUUCAUAUCCUUUUUUACGGAACUCUAGCUUGUGCCGUAGACGACCUUCCCACUAGUGUGAGAGGAAACUCUCGAUUGGGACCCGUCCAUUGCUUGGCUCUUCCUACCCACAGGCGGGUUCCCCGGCAGAACGAUGAGGGCUUUGCUUGCCUUUCUUUUCUAGGAUGAGUGGUUGAUUCUCGAAUCCUUCUCUUUGCUUUACAACAUAGUUGAAUGCCCCCAACGGAAGGUACUUGUUUCUCUCUCGGGCCUGGCCGAUCAACGUAUGGCCGGUGUAAGAACCCAAAGCGCCUAUUCCCGGACGCAACCAACCUCUGACUAUUCCACUCUGAUUCCUUCGCUCUGCCCAUGAAAGUCUUCUUUCUUCGAGUGAGAGAGGAGAAGAUUCGCACUGGCUUUAUGGCUCAUACGACCUCGAAAGUUCAAUAAUUUAAGGGGUUCCGACGAAGGAAGAGCUUGACUGCUACUAAAAAAGGUACGCCCUAAUCGCUCCCCUUUAUUAUUAUUAGUAAGAUAGGGUGGUUGAGAAGCAGGUCGUUCGUGUGCUUAUUGUAAAAAAAUACCUACGACUAUCAAAGGAACUAAUCUCACAAGCAACCGUCACUCAUAAAGGGGCAACAAGACCUCUAACGGCCACUCUCUUUCUCUUCCUUCGGUAGGCUCUGCCUCAUAGCCGGACUCAGAAAUGCAACUCUUUGAUCAAACCUAGCAAAUAAUGGCAUAAACAAUGGAUUCUCACUCGGGGCUCAACUUUCCAUAAUCCACUGUUAAGGACUCUCUUUUUUCUCAUCCACCUUCUUUCCCUUGGUACGGUACCUUCACGGCACAUUUGUUCUCAAACCCUUCUUUUCAGACGUCGAAAUGGGCUUUUGCCUCGUAGCCAUACCUAGACGAAUCUGACUCCUCUUCGAAAAGAGAGAGCAGUUGUUCCCCGAAAGACUUGGAAAGGUUUUUUUUGCUACAAACGAGAUUGAAGAAGUCCAUCGACUUAAAAACCCUUGGUACUUUAAACCAAAGUCUUGCCUUGACUUACGAGCAAGCCGAACUCCCCCUUCGCAACACCUACCUUUUUUUCUUCCUGAGGUGGGUGUCCCGCUUGAAGCAAGAGGAUUAGACAUCUUAUUCAUUGAGUCGACGAGAUCGAAGUAGUAGGUUUCCAGCCCAGCAGUUUACGGAGAAGAGGGGAAAGUUUGAGGAGAGGAAUAAGAAGAAGAGAGGGGACCUCAUCAUGGCACGCUGGAGCAGGAAUUGAAUCUGCACUUGGCUCUCAUAAAGCCAAAGCAAAACAACCUUUCAUUGCCACUGAAUCCCCCUUUUUGAUCAGCCGAACUUUCCUUCUGCUUGACUUAGAGUAGAUUUCAUUCGACAUAUGCGACCAACUGCCCCCUCUCUUGCUUUUGAUCCAGCUAAUGGUAAUGAGUGCGCCUGAAGCCCCUGGAGUUCUUCCUCUUUUCCUUCCCCGAUCCGAUUCAACCCUCCGAUCUCUCUUUCCGUAGAGGAGAAGAGCUUCCCCUUGUUUUUCGGCGUCAACCUUUGUUCUUUCCUAACCAGACCUCGACGAAUCCAAAGUGAAAGGUCCAACUGGUCAAAUUCCUUAUUCAUUGGUCUAGGGUAUGGAAGCAGUCCUUCCUAUCGAAAUUUAGAUCCCAUCCCUUAGGAUACAGAUUGACAAGGACUUAACCGAUAGUGAAAAGCUUCCAGCUUUGUUGGCACAAAAAAACUCUUGGAUGAGAAAGGCCUACGUGCCGCUGAGCAUGCCCAAAUUUACCAAAAACGUAUCAGUUGAGCCUAUGAUAAGAAGGUCUUAGAAAGGAAGUUCAAGAUAGGUGACUUAGUCCUUAAGAAAAUCAUGCCUUCUAGAGAUCCACACCCUAGGGGAAAACGUCAAGCCGAAUCGGGAAGGGCCCGAUUUCAUAUCCGCCGUCCAUCCUGGAAAUGCAUAUAAACUUUAGAAUGCGGAUGGUGAUGAACUACCCGAUCCCUGGAAGGCCAUCUACCUCAAGAGGUACUACGCGUAGGCCAACCUUUGUUUGGAUUCACAUUUUGGCCUUACCUCGAGAGAACUUUGUUAUGUUUCCGAGUCUAAAGAGUAGGGCAUAUGUUUGUUGUCUAAGUUCUAAAAGAUAGCAAGCUAGUGCAUUCAUUCAUUAGUACUUCACCAGCGGAUAGGGUGACUUUCUCGUUCUCGACCUUUCCCCAGUCCCCUAUUCGCCGAACCAUUCCUUCCAUCGUGAACCUUUAUCCCUGAGUCAACCGAAAAAAUAUCCGCCUCCCCUCUUAUUCAUUGAGAAAGGCAGGGGUGGGGAUAUCUACUAAAUAUGCUCGCUCCUAUUAGGAGUAUAUUUACUAAUGAGACUCCUCUUUUAGUUUCAUUCUCUGAAUAUGCACCUCUCCCUUUCAUUCCUUAACUCAUUCAUCCAUGAAUUUCUUUCCCGCUACCCCCCUUUUUGGUAGGAGAUAGUUUCCUCUCCCGCUUAAAUUCCUUGCAUCGGAUAGAAGCAGCCCAUGGAAUGAAUUUCGAUACCAUCUCCUUAUCGGUUGGCGGAAAGUCAUCUCUUGGGCAGUCGAAAGGGGGGCAACGAAUCGUCGAAUGAAUUCCUUGUGUCGGGUGGAGAGAAGAGGGUGGUAGAUAGAAUGAACAGUCGACUGCUAUGGGAGAGGGAAUCAACUAGGAACUGGCAUCUCCUGGUCCCUUCCAACCAUUAAAGGUACGUGCUUAUUACUAGGAGUGUCAGAUGCAACCUGUGUGCUCAGUCCCAAACUGUAUUGAUGACCAAGCGCGCAGUCUUUAUAGCGCGCUUUUCAAGCGCUUACCAAGCAAGCAAGCCGGCAUACUCAGAGAGCUCUUCGCCUUUGGUCCGAUGUGGGGGCCCUUUCUUAUUGAAUGAAGUAGGCGGUAACGGUAAUAAGCGACCGAUCAUUAGUAAGAGACGAAGACAGGGCCAGACGAGAUAUUGAAAGGCUUGAAUGGACAGGUAAGGGACAGACUGAUUGCACCUACCAGGCACAGGACUUAUUGGCUUCAGAAGCAAGCCAAAGAAAGAAGGGAUUCGCUUACAGAAGUACUUUCCAUAUUUUGAAAGGGAAUAUAUAUAUUUGAAGGAAGGUACUCGUGUACGGGAAUCGAAGUGAUUAGAACAGAACUGAGCUUGCCAGCCAGGAAUGAAGAAGCAACGGACGCUAUUUGUGGACAGAGCAAGGGACAGAUAGAGGAAUGGUUUACCUCCUCUAUCCUUUCCAUUAAUUGAUUGCAUACCGUCUCGCUUCUGUUUACCGUACGAUUAGCUGUACUUCUUUCCGAAUGGUUGAUAUAACCAUUCCCUACUGACUCUAUUAGGGGCAUACUCGAUAGUCGUCUUUCCUUUCCUGUACUAUUCAAAUUGCCCUAUUUUUUCUAGUAAGGGGAAGGGCAGACCGCUUAUCAUAAAACAGAAGAUCGAUAUCGCACAGAAGGCCUGAUAUCGCCCUAUUUGAGAUACUGAUUCAAGUUAUAGUACUUCUUCUUCCUAAGAGCGAUUGAACUAGCCUUUUGACUAAAUAGAUAUGAGCAUAGAGAGGGAAUCCUGAACUACAGGAAAAAAGGAGAGCAGCCAGCCUUUAUAUUAUUAUAUAUUAGCGGGUAGGUUUUUCUUUUUCCUGAAGCUUAGAUGAGAUUAGAGAUGAAAAAGACGCUAGCAUUAGCAGAAGAUCAUCGAUCAUACUUUCUUGCCUUAGCCACUAUUGAGUAAGAAAGAUUUCUACUUGCCUUAGAUCACUAUCGAGGAAGAUAAACUCAUAGCACAGAUGAUCCUUACCCGGGAAGGCAGAAAGAGUACCUGUUGUUAACAAAACGGAGUCUCAAAAACUCAAUUAUCGUAUUUUCAAGCAGAGCACCAGUAAAAGACCUAGAGGCCUAUGAAAGUCACGUUUUUACUUAAGAAAGAUGGCGCCUUUGCGAGGAUGUCUUUAAUCAGCCAAUGCCAAGGCAACAAAGCUAGCAUCAAACCUACCCGCCCAGAACCCUCCUUAAUUCCUACCAAGGUUCCCAUCCCCGAUGACAGAAGAAAGAUAAGCUAAAAUGGGAGCUGGAGAGGCAGGAAGAAAGAUUCUCACUUGGACAGGAGAUGCGGACGAGUUUUGGCCGAGCUCCAAGAAGCCUGGGAGAGAAGGAGGCAGGGCCAAGCUGAGCUAAACCUAAACGUAUGCAUGGUUAAAAAGAAGUGUACCCAAGUUCCUGUGUUGCUCGAUAAUUUGUUGAUCCUUUUUAUCUUUAUCCUGGUGGCGCUCUCUUACUUACUAUUUUUUUGGUGCUUUAGCCAGCCUUACUCAUCUAUGAGACAGAUGAGAGAGUGGGAAAAUGCGGUGUCAUGACUUUUUCCUUGAAAGGCAUCGUCUGUUGACGAAUCCAUUUUAAGCCUAAGAUUCCCCUGAGAAUGGAUCUCUCAUUUGGGCAAAAAGGCUGUGAAAAAGGAUUCCAAAUCAGGCUUUCCUCACUUGAGUAGAAAGCUUUUCAGAAAGGAGGAUAUCCUGAGCCAAGCACAAGCAGUAGUCUCAAAGAGUAAUGCAGUUGGAUCAAGAAGGCCGAAAGCCCGGCAGUAAAGCUCACGUUGUCGACACCUCUUGUCCGUCAGUGAGUGAUUUCUCGUAUGUGUAAAGACGGGUAGACCGUCUCAUCUCUUUCCUCAAAGUGGUGGAUCGAACUUCGAUCAUGUCACGAGAGUGGAUUCAGUUGGUUUCAUCGGUCAUUCUGCGAACCUGAACCUGACAGCUAUCACUUACUGGUCAAUGAAAGUGGGGUAAGUUUGACUCUGAUUCGGAGCUUGAAAGUCAAAGAGUCUCAUGCACUUGCUUAUGGAACUCUUGCUUCAAAGAAUAAUCUUCCUAGGUUGCCCUAUCUCUUCCUCUUCGGUUGUACUUUCCCUUUUCUUCCUGUUCAACUUGCCCAACUCUCACGAACUGGCAGUGGUUUUUCAGCAUCAAUGAGUCGACUGCUUUUUAUAUGACCUUUGCUUUUAGCUGCUGAUGUCUGACGACAAUGACUGCCUCACCUGAUGAUACAUAGCACUGAAUUGGAUUAGCGGACACAGAGUCAUGUAAAGCGAGUGGAAGGGUCAGACCAUCAAGUGGAUCGGAAUCAUGUAUAUAGGAAUCAGGGGCUAACGCAUGCCUAAACCGACCUGUCUUUCCUCUCCCUUAUCGAUCGAGCCUCACUUCCGCUCUCCUUCCCUAACGGAUAGUACGACCUCCUAACGGUCCCCUUCCCUUUGGUCGAGCACGAGCCUAAUCUAUCCCCUCUUUGCGUCAAACUUCUAUGUGGGCUGCGCCCUCCUCUGAUUCUACCUAUCCACCUGGAUUUUGGGGUCUCAAUGCCAUUCCUUGAUACGAAAUCUCCUUCUUGGCGACUCACUCAUUGAGGAAAGAAGCCCUACUCGCCGGCCUCAAUGGACCAAUGGGGCCACUCCUCGAUCCUUCUGACCCUGACUAAUCAAUCGGCUUGGAAGUUGGAAGGGAGAUGCCAUGACAAACUCAUCCAAUCAAGCUCGUCUGGGAAUCUUUCUCUGACUUGUCCUUCGGGGAAGGGAGCUAGAUUCGUAGAAAUCGAGAAGAAUGGCAGCUUUGACUAACAGGAUAGGGUGCCAAGGAGAGGGUUUCAUUGAAGAAGUCAUAGUGCGGAGAGGAGCUCACCUUCAUCUAAAGAGGGAGCCUUGAAGCCAAAGCCAUCUUGGAUCAAUUGGGAACUUCAUCGGGCACGCACCUUUCAUCGUGAAUGAUUAUGCUCAGGGAGCCCCAACUAUAGCCAUUUCCUUCCAUAAACAACCACGGAAAAAGCAAGAGAAGUAGCCCCAGUCAGACAGCAAAGUCGCAAAGGUAAAAGGGAGAGCAUCAGGUCAAUCAGUCGAUGAUCCGGUGGAUCAAUUCAUUAGUCUUGCAGUUGGUCAAGCCAAAGACUGAGUCGACUAAGCAACUGUGUAAGGAGUGGAUGAUCAAUAAUUCACAGCAAAAGUGGAUACAAGAACCGAGUUCAGUAGUCGAUGUUGAAGUCGUGCAAGUACUGAUCUCUGAACCAGAAGCAGCAUACUUAUCGACUGCUGUGACCAACACGCACCAGCAACAGCGCUCGAAAGUCAGAGUGAACCAAGAGAAGCUGAACAGACGGAGUGCAAGUGCAUCCAUGGAUCAGAAAAGGAGUGAGUGGCUUCCAAGGUGUAGGUGGGGGAACGAGUGAUGGACCAAGCAAAGGAAAGGGGGAAGAAUCACUGGAAAGACGCUGCUUUGGUUGACCAGCGAACAAGCACGAGCCAGGCAAUAAGAAAGCAAUAGCCGAGGUUGGGUCGUCAGGAAGGAUAGCCAACAUAGAAGAGCUUUUGCCCAUUCCAUUAGUCGAAGCGAAGUCCUGUCCUUGGAAAAUGAUUUGAUUCACGUUUCCUAUCUCCCCUUGAUAGAAAAGGGAUCCUCGCCUGCCAAAGGUUCUUCUUCCCUCUCUGCAAAUGGUGAUUCCACAGCAUCUGAGUUCAUCAAGCGAAGAACAGAGAUCCUUUCUCGAUGAAGGUCUUCUUAUCUUAUUCCUCUGGGAAAGACGUGGUUCAUGAGCCAUUGACUCGAUCAUCAAGUCGAAAUAAGGCGCUUUCUUGAGUUCUUUUACCCAUCUAUUGUACCGUGGGGAGCAGCAUCCGAGCUAUGGGAUCGCUAGCUUAUGAAAGAUCAUAGAUCGGGGACAUCUGACUGAGAUAGAUCGUCAUCUCCGGGCGAACCUCUCUUUGUCGAUCAGGUAACUAUGAGAAUGGUUCGAUAUGUGAAUUCAAAGAAAAUAGGGGACAUAAGGGUUCUUAUGCAGUUGUUCGAAUCCUACGCCUAUCGCCUACCUUAUCUGCCGAUUUAUCGUAGAUAACAGAUGUGAGCGUUGCCUCACAAACCUAUCCAAAACCCACUUUUGUUGUCAGGGCGUUUCGCCCGACAUUUUCAAAAGUGUUCUUCAUAUAUAUAAUUAAUAAAUUCCAGAUCUAAGGGCUCCAUGGGCAGAAGGAUAAGGAAGGUCAGAAAAGCUAGCAGCGGGAAAGCGGUAAGGGAAGGCAAUCGGUAAUAGUCAGCUGGCGGUUCGGUUCGGUGGAAGAAGCUGUAAGAGCUGUCAGCGGUAAUAGGCACUUCAAUGAAGCAGCAGCAGUAGAAUCAUCAUUAGUGGAUACAGCACCAACAACAGCAGCAGAUCCAGAGGCAGUUCCAGUCCUUGUCGCAGCGCAGUAGUUAGUAGGUGAUCCAACACCAGAGAGAAAAGACGCAGCAGAUUCAUAUACUGACCUUAGUGAUAUAGAUCCAUACCUAGGUACAGAACGAGACCCAUUAGUGAGGUCCAUAUCGGUAAUAGAAAGACCUGCCACAAAAGCAUUCCGAUGGAGCAGAAGUAGACCCUUCCCCCGCCAUAAUAGCACCACCUAGCUUCGCUGCAUCGGGAUAGUAGUAGCACAUAUCUUUAUAUAGUGAUCGUGAUAGGGAUAAUGAUACCAAUGAUAGAGUUGACCUAGCCUAGCGACAUCCAUCCCUUGUCUCCUACUGGUUUGUCUCUGAAAAUGGUUCUAAAUAAUGGUAUACUCCGGCUAGCGAAGAGGACAACCGAACCAACAUAUUAAGAAGAAGUUAAGGUCUCGGUUCCGUCUAUAUUCAUAGAAGGUGAUGUCGACGCUUUAGUUUUCAUUUUUUAAGAAAGGUUAAGAAGAAUAUCCUUGGCUAAAUAAAAGAAAGAAAGCCGAGCACGACUCCUAUCACUUUCUUAUUAGUCAGUCACUUCAGGCUUGGGUCACAAGCGCUAGCACAUCGGGCUUCUUAGCCUAAAAAAUAAGUGCUUUCCACCUCUUUCUUGCUGCAGUUGCAGGUCGAAGAUGAACCUUGCUGUUUAGUUUCUGCGUGACAAAUACGCUGGAUUGUGUUACGCGAAAAUGACGCCAUGCCCGGUUUAAAGAUAUAACUAUUGCUGCUUACUCCAAUCCUAAACAAGCAUCAAAACGCACAUAGGCUAGCGUGAGCGGUAAGGAGAGAAAGAAAGCAGCAAGCCAGCUAGCCCCCCGACAACUAGAGCGUAAGCAGACGCAGCUGAAAAAACUAGACGUCAUAGGCUAGCUCAAAACGUCGAGGUGAUAGCUUGAGGUCCUAAUCUGACUGAGUUGUAUUUAGGAUAAGCGGGAAGGCUCAAUAGAACGGGAUCCUCACGUCUACAAUGGAGCUUCGCCUUGACUACAAAGUUUAGGGUGCUUCACUCACGCGGCUUUGCUAGAUGGAUGCAGAAUAGUUGGAUGGAGUCUCGCUCAGUCAAUUAGUCUAGCCUCCCUUCCGAGUCAGAUUUUUUCCGGAAUUUUUUCUUGUCAAGUGAAAAUGGAGAUUCAAAAAUGGUUGGAACUAUUUGAACACGACGUUUUUUGGGGAGUCGGCAUCCAUUAUGUGGAAGUUGGGUCACAUCGUGGAUGUACAUAAUUGGAGAUUGAUCUCCUACUCCUUCACCUCGAAAACCUUCUCUCCAGCUCAAGAUCACUUUAUUCUUUUUCCUGAAAUAAGUAGAUCCUUUCACUUUCAUGACAACUGACUUCAAACCCAUCUUUCUGGCGGAUCGCCCGACAUGUUCCGCAGUUGCUUCAGCAGCAUACCGAGAAAGACGAGACCGCCCUUUUCUUUCCUCCAAACAACCUGCGGAGGCCCCAGUCUUUUUAUUCCCCCUAGCAUCUGUCACGGUCACAAAGGUCUUAUUUUUGAUCAGUAAGACAUGGACAAAAUCUCUGUUCUUUUUCCGUGAACAUUGCUCAUCUUCCUCCGAGAUGCUCUGUACGAAGUUCAUGGAUUUGAAACUGCCCGCACCCGCAAGCCCAAGCCGAUCAGUCUCGGCCGUUGUUUUUUCCUGGGGCAUCCUAUGUGAAAAGUGUUGAGAAAGCAUUUUGUUUUUUUAUUCUUUGUCUGCUCCCCCAAAAAAAAGAGAGACUUGUCGGAAAUCGCCGGUUGGGUUGGUCCGACCAAGAAAGACAUGGGAUGCACUUUUUCGUUUCGAACCAUACCUCGAGGAGAGGUGGAAGUGAAAGACUGGCUACCUAUAAAGAUCCCUCACUGCACACUUUCUAUAGUUCUGUAUCCAGGAUCGGCUGCAUGCUCGAGUUAUGAAUCGGGUAUAGAACCCAGGAUGCUUGGUUACAAUUCCGAAUCCGCUAAACCAUGUUUCUUUUCUUUUUUUUUGUCGAAACUAUCCAUGGGCAAUGAGUUUCGAUGUAUUGGGUGUAUCCGUUCUUUAUUUAAAGAAUUAUUUUCGUGCUUACGUCAUUUGCUUUCGCGUCCUUUUCUCAUUCAUUUUCUUUUAUCCCGGAACACUAACGAAAUCGCGGUUUCCUGAACUGAAGAAUGUGAACCUUAUAUAAUCAAUAGAAUAGAACAGCAUCUUUGGUGAAAGAAAGAGUGGUUAGGUCAGAAGCAUCUAGCACGCACUUCAAUCCAAACAAGCAAUAAGCAAGAUGAAUCUCUUUUUCUUUCUAUUCUAUAAUAAAUGAAAUUAUGUAAUCAGGGCUAAAGCACAUACAUAUGGAGAGGUGCAAAGGACAGAUGUGCCAGUUAGAUGAUAAUAAUUACCAGGGUCUGCCAGCGGUAUUUGAUUGAAAUAGUGCGGUACGAAUUACUUUCAUCAUUUAUAUACCCCAUCUUAAUAUAAUAAGAAGAAGACGUUAUAGUCACUUCUAACUUCAUCCAAUCAACUGCCUUGAAUGCAAUGCCUCUCCUAUUUUGAAAACGAACAAAAGAAAGAAAAAACAGGAAAGGCCAUUGGAAGGAUGCGAGCGGGAAGAUCCAUCUCAGACAGAGCAGACGGGGAAAGAGAUAUUAAAUGAAAGGUGUGCCAGCAGAUAUGUAUUUAUAACAGAAAAACCAAAAGCGGUGAGCUGACCUACCAACGUGUGAAUGUUUUAUUCAUGAAUUAUUUACUGUAGUCACAUCCUCAUAAAUAGUUCUAUCCGAUAGGCGUCUUGCAGUCUCUUAGGUGAUAGCGGAGCUCUUCCGUGGGGAAGCACCUAACCAUAUAGAAUAUUCGCACCUUAGCUAUUCUAUGUGAUCUUCCUUGAGCCCCCUAUCGCCUGCUAUCGCCGGCCUGGAAUGAAGGGAGGGCUUCCACUAUCCUACCAGAAAUGCUUGACCAAACUCCAAUACCAAGAAUUGAUCCUGCUGAAGCUUCCUUCGAUUUCUUUUUUUUUUGCCUUAAAAAUCUAGUUUCUUGGCAUAAGGACUACUUAUACUUAUAUGGAAUGGAAGUGGAAUUCCAUCCUAAGAAAAGAUUUUCGCAAUCCCUGGAAGGCCAGAGGUCUUCUUUCUUCUGUCGUCCUGCUAGCUCAAAUCUCGUACUAUAUACUUUUGACUAUACCUGAAAUCACUAUCGAAAAAGGGCUCUCUUUUUAGGCUAGUUAGGGUAGGGAGUGAAUUCUACUUUAGACAAGUCUAGCAAAGCAGCUCAUCUGGUAAGACGGUCAUCCGUCCAACCUCUAUCAAUCGGUCUUUCCUCUUUCAAUCGCUUGAAUCGGUCCAACCGGGAAUCGUCGAAUCUCUAACGAUCGCAUCUGUCUGACUGAUGGGAGAGAUCGGCUCUAUGGCCGCUUUUCCUUAAACUUCAGCCCUCUUUAAGCUCUCUUCUAGGGAAUUUGCUUGGUCUAGUAACAAGUCUCGAUAAGCUGUCGCAAUCAGGCAAUUCGUUAAAAGAGAUAUCUGAUCGAUCUGUCUUUCAAUACUUCCUAUCUUCCUGCUUGGGAAUCAGUAUCUGUUGCAAUCGCUCAUUUGUUCUGUUCUGUCGCAACUCUCGCAUCUGGAAUACGGGAAAGUCUUCCCAUAUUAACCUUUUUGUAAAUUUCUCUUCUAUUGUUAGCAUUGGCUAUCGGUCAAUUCCGAUUCCUUUCCUUAUAAGUAUUUUGUCUCCUUCAUUGAUUACUAUUCUAGAGUGACUUGGAUCUAUCUUAUGAAAUCGUCGAAUGAAGUUCCUUUGAUUUUCCGGUUAUUUCAUAAGAUGAUCAAAAUUCAGUGUGGUAUAAAUUUGAAGAUUUUGAGAUCCGACAAUGGGGGAGAAUAAUAGUUCUCCAAGAACUUUCAAGCUUAUCUGCAGGAACAAAGGAUUGACUCUCAAACUACCUGUCCAUAUACCCCCAAAAAAGAAUGGAGUAGCUGAGCGAAAAAAUCGGCAUCUUUUGGAGGUUACCCGUGCUCUUCUCACCGAGAUGAAGGUACCUAAUACUGGUAAGAAAGAAGCUGUCUUAACUGCAUGUUAUUUGAUUAAUCGUAUGCCCGUUCUAAGUGGUAAAUCUCCUAUUUAAGUGUUGAAACCUGACUCACCCCUGUCUUUCCUAUUUCUCCUCGUGUUUUUGGUUGUGUUUGCUUUGUUCAUGACUUGAGUCCUCUCAGAAACAAACUUGAUUAUAAGUCUUUCAAAUGUGUCUUUGUUGGAUAUUCUAGCGGGCCACCCCAAAACAAAUAAAAGAUUUGUGUCCAUGGAUGUCACUUUCUUUUAAAAUCUUUCUUAUUUCUUUUCUCUGAAAAUGGUAGUACUCUUUCGGAUCCCUACUCUCCUCAGGGGGAGUAUGGAGGUCUGGAGGAGAGUAGUGUUCUUACUGUCGUCAGUUAAAAUAUUCCCAUGUCUAAAGUGGAAAAUUAUAUGGAUUCGAAAGAGGGGGAGUCUCAAAGUAGUGAGCAGCUUGGUCAGCAAACCACGGAAUUAAAGACGUAUGUGAGGAAAAGGAAGAAGGUCAAUUUGUCGAAUCAACGAUCCAUCACCAAGACUCCUCCUUGGAUCCAGGUACUUCCUCUCUUCCUCCUUCUGUUGUUUAUGAUCUGUAUUUACCUAUUGCCUUGAGGAAAGAAAAGAGAUAUUGUACUUCUCACCCUAUUAAUCACUUUGUGUCCUAUCAAGCUUCCUUCCUUUAAAGCUUUCCUUUCAGCGAUUUCUUCCACCAAGAUACCUGGAAGAAGCCCUCAAUCAUCCUCAGUGGAAGAAAGCUAUGAUAGAAUAAAUGGAGGCUCUAAAGAAGAACGACACUUGGGAACUGGUCACGUUACCAAGAGGCAAACGUACGGUUGGCUGCAGGUGGGUAUAUACCCUGAAACACAAAGCUGAUGGCUCUAUCGAGAGGGCUCGUAUUGUGGCGAAAGGUUUCACACAAACCUAUGGCAUCGAUUAUCUCGAGACCUUUGCUCCUGUGGCCAAACUAAACUCAAUUCCAUACAAGUCAUUCUGUCAGUUGCAGCUAACAGAUCUUGGCCACUGCAUCAGCUCGAUGUCAAAAAGGCCUUUCUUCAUGGAGACCUCCACGAAUAGGUUUAUAUGAGUCCUCCACCAGGUUUUCGAGCUCAGGGGGAGGAAGGGAAAGUUUGCAGGUGAAAAAAAAAGGCGAUAUAUGGUCUCAAGCAGUCUCCUCGGGCUUGGUUCGAGAUAUGAAGUUUGGUUAUGACGAAGAUAGAUGGGUUUCCAGAGAAGCAAUGCUGAUCAUUCCGUGUUCAUAAAAAGGAGAGAGACAAGAGGAAACUACUGUUCUCCUAGUGUACUCAGUUUAGAACUCUAAAUUCACAAGUCAAAUAAUGAUAUUAGUCAGAAAGGCAGCUAGUAAGCAAGUCGAGUAAGACAGCUAUUAUUAAGUCGAGCGAGCUUUCGCUAAUACUAAUCAAAGACGAAAAGCUAAGGUAAGAAUUUGCAUAGAGAUGAUAGGCGCUUAUUGUGGAGCUCGAUAGUCUCCCUUAAAACCGCUACCGAUUCUUGAACAGAAAGCGGUAUGCUUGCGAAGACCAUUUCUGGUCUAUCCGUGUUAAUGAAAUCCAUCCCGUGAAACAAAGGAUAGUUCAUUCUUGGGGUGAAUAAAUAGAGACUACUGCUACGGGAUAGACCAAAACUUCGGGAUCAACCUCAAUGAAUUAUGGCGUAACGGGCUUGGUAUAGAUCCGUAGCCCGCUCUGGGUCUUUAACCGAAACUGGGACUAGGCAUGGAAAAGCUCGAUCAAUGUCCUCCUCUCCCGAGGUUAGAAAUGUGGAGGUACCUUUCCCGUCACCUGUUAGCUCUGUCCGCCACGGGUUAGCGACAUAAAGUGCGAAUAAAGGUUCAUCGGGACAUUUUUCUUCGACAACUGAACUAUCAUCACCGUUCUUAAGUCUAGACUUUUUUUGGGGGGGGUCAUAUUCAAAAUCUCGCAAAGCUUCAUUCUACAAGCAUUCCUAUUUUAAAAGGUAUAUGGAUUCCGGAUUGAAAAUAUGGAUAUAUUUCAUUCUCCUUUUGGAGACCGACCCAUCUUUCUCUCUAGAGGGGCCCAAAAGAUACAAAUACGCUCCUGAGGAGUCUUCCUGGGAAAUUGACUCCUUCCUUUCCAACCGGAUUCAUGAGUGAAGGAAAAGAUCAGAUGGAAAGGACUCUCCUUCCUUCUCUCUCAUCUGCUCGGCUACGGAUAUCUGCUCUACAGCGAGUGAUGAAGCUUCGAGUACCCAAUCCAUCUAUAAGGUUCCGGGAAAGAGGGAUAGACUAAAUGUGAGAUGGAGCAAGGUUUGGAACAAUCUCGGCGGGCUUGCCAAUCCGUCGAGAUUAGUCAACUUUCCUUUUAUGUUCGACCAGGAAGGCUACUCCUCAUCCCUACUUUCAGCGGCGAUCAGUCUAGUCUAGUAGGCUCUCUCGCCAGUGAGUUCGGCUUUUCAUUUCGAAUAAAAGGAAAGAGCUUAUAGUUUUUCAUACCGAAAAAGAGGCGGUAGAAGGCCUAAAGUCCUUCUCAUUUCAAUCUCAAUCAAGAAGGGCUUAUUCUAUGCAAUUGAUAGGCUCUUCUCUCUUUGACCCUUCCCUUGGUUGUUAUGAUCUCGUUGAGUGAGAUAGAAGCUCAAAUCAAUUUCUUAGGGAGCAGUGGUUCUUCGUACAGAUUUGGCCUAAGAGCGGUGAUUACGGGAGAAUGUUUUUUGGUUCAAAACAAGAAAAUUCAUCACAGGAGAAAAAAGACAGUGUAGACGAUAGAUUCAUCGGAUAAAGAGUAUAAACGGAAACGGAGACAUUAGACGCCAGCUUAGACCUUGGUAAGCGUUUCUUCUUCGAAACCUCAGCAGAUAUGGUUUUAUAGGACGAUUUGUCCAAAACAGACCUUGCUCGCAAUGACCUAUGUUUCUUUAGUAAGAAAGUCCGGUUUAAGCCAAGCCAUCUCAUACAUAAAGUCUGACUAUUAGUCUUGCUGUUCUUUCAAAUCCAUUAGCGGUGCCGCCGUGCUUUUGAUUUUCAUGCCUUCCAAGCAGUCGAAUUGAAUUGGUCGCAUCUGCCUUCCCGCUUAGUGAAUCUCUAAGGGGCGUAAUUAAUCCAAUCUCUCAAUCGGUUGGUCAAAUGCAUUGACAUUGGCGCAUUCGAUUUCUUCUUUUCCAAAAGUGGGUUCAAAUCCCCUUGCCUUGCUGCUGAGUAUGCCCUAGUUUUUUUCUUCUCGAGGAGUGGCUAGCUCAUUUCUUUAUCCACCAUUGAAUUGGAAGUUGCGGGAUCACCCAUGAUGGCUGUUUCAGUUCUUGAUUCAGUUGAACUGCCCGGCCGAGCUCUUCAAUUGCUUCAAGCGCGUUUCGUUCUUCUUGAAUCUCUCGGAAAGAGGAAGAGGCCCCUGCGCGAGCUGCAAUCAAACUAAAGCGCGUUAGCUAGGCCGUUUUCAAUAAGGGGCGCGUUAGCGCUUUACUAAUAGAAUAUAUAGGGCUUUUCUCGCUUGUUUAGUAAAGUCGACGUUUUUGCUUCGUUCCACUUCCUUAACGGACCUACGGACUAGCUAAGGUUUACUUACAUAGUUGUUCUUUCUUUUCGCAAUUUCAAGUUAAAGCUAGCGUUUUUCAGCUUGCUGUUUGCUUUGGUCGAGUAGCUUUCUUCCUUCGCUUUUGAAUGAAAUCAGCAGUAAGAGUAAGUAAGUGUUUGUUCUCUUUCUUUCCUCUGCUUAUUCCGCCCAACGAAUCGGCUUUCCGCUCGACCAAAUAGUCAAAUGCCCGGUUAGGAUAUGUGGAGAAGAAGCUCCUAGCAUAUUUCAGGAUGACUUUCGUUUCAUAUUCCAGUCUUGCAAUAGGAUUGAAAGGCUAUGAAUGUCGAAUGGUCCCAUAGGCGCUUUCGCCCGCCCCUGAAUAAGCAGUAAGGCGUGGGCGCGUUGGAACGAUCCCGCUUUGAAAGCUCAACCUCGGGAGAAUCAGUUUCGCCGGUCCAGUGACUUGGCAUACAAAGGCGAGUAGGGUUCUCCUCCAUGUGGUGCACUCCCGCUUCUUCAUACCCGGAAUAAGUUUGAGCUGCUCCAAGGGACAGCUUUUUGCUGCCGGAUGAAGGUCUUACGUCGGCUAAGAAGACGGAAAAUUCCAUCUCUUUUGCGGUCCUGGAGAUCGGGGAGAUAAGAGUUCGCCCACCCUAUUUUGAGUGGGUGCUCGCAAGGUCAAAGUCAAAAAUUCUAUUCUUUCAUUAAUACAGGGGUAGUGGGGAAUAAAUAGUUUAAGUGAUUCACACCUCGAAGUAGAGUGUGUAAAUACCGGAUGCGUAGGUUGAAUCAUUCGCUAAACAACUAUUUUGUUGGGCGAUCAACCAGGUGCUCCUACCCAACCGGACUAAUGAAUGCCAACUGGAAGAACUCACUUUCCUAUCGUUCAGUAGGAGAUCCCUUCUUGUGGCUUGAAAAUGAUUCCCUGUUGCUAAUGGGGAGAGAUCUUUCAUUAGGGUUUGAUGCUCCUCAAUGGAGAUCCCCAGAAUAAUAGCUUGCUUGUAGAACCCUUUGUUUGGUACUUUAAUGGGGGUAUUCUUGUACAGCUUGGCCCUUUCCCUGGCGCACUGCCAUCGAAUCUACUAGUCCUCCUCAAACCCAAUGGGAUAGAAUUCCUUGCGAAUUAGAGUUUGAAAUUUCUUCCGUGACAACCCAGAAAUGUCAUGGUUGCUCAUAUAUGCAUUCCAUCAAGUUAGUGCAUAAUUUGACGAUUUCGAUUUUCUUUCUCCGAUCCAGUUCGUUCUGUCUUCUUUCCGACGGAUCAGCCCUAUUAGAGAAGGGCUUCCGAUUCUGUAUGACAACAGAACGAGCAUUCGCUGGACGGCCAAACAUUGAAUGAAAUGUUGGCAUGGGGUUUCGGCAAUUUCAAUUCCAUUUUCAGUCUUUUCAAAUGGAAAUUGAAAUUGUAUACGCCGGUUGAAGCACACGUUGGAGCAUCCAAACGAACCAGCAGGGGCUGCUGUGGCAGAGACAGCAGCAAAAGCACUAGUCUCCGUUGAUCACCUACCAGCAGGGAAAGCAGCAUAGGUGGCAGGAACUAACUAGGGUUUAGGUACCAAUUCGAAGAGCAUUCGUUUACCGGGGUCGAGAGCAGCCAGCCCUAGAGGUACCACACUAACAGCGGCAUCCCGACCUGAUACGGAUCCCUACCUCUCUAUCCACAACCGACCCUUCGAAAGCUUAUUUAUUUACUUGAGGCAUAGGCAUGGGCACAGGUGGAGACACAAGCAAAGGCACCAAUAAAUAGCUACAUGGGUCGCAUAGAAGCUUUAAGAGAUAGGGGGGCAUCCACCGAAGAUGGCAGCGCAACGGAAGCACGAACGAGGUAGCUUACGCUUUUUUUUUCAUCCUCACUACCUGGUUUAUAGUCGAAUCCGGAGAAUAUGAACUCAAAACAUUCUGAUUUUUGGUACGUUGCUAUGAGCAGCUCUGGUGCUCGAUCUUGGGUCUUAGGUGUGGGUCGGAUCAUGAUAAAGAAGGUUCGGUGGUUGUAUAAUUCCCAAGCGGAAAGUAGUCUACUUGCAAAGUAGAUGGGGUGAUCAAGCGGCCCUUCCUGCGCCAACAUACAUCCAAUGGCAUAGAGUGAUGCGUCAGUAUGAACAUGAACUCCUUAUUCCAAUCCGGAAACCGAAGGAUUGGGGCUGACAGCAAACACUCAUCUGCAUGCUUAAAGGCUUAAUCCUGUUUCGGUCCCCAACCGUUAUACCUUUCUUCUGCAAUGAUUCCAUUCCGGGGUUCCGCGCUUCGCAAAGUGUUUAAUGAUGCGUCUGUAAUAGCCUAUGUGUUCCAAAAAAGAACGCGCUACGCCCGGCCCCCUUUUUCAGUAGAUGAGAUUAGGAUGAAAGGGCUUGCUUUCAUUAACAUUCAGUGAAGGUGCAUAGCUUCUUUGAAUGUCCCGCUGAUUGACUACUACAUCUAGGGACGGGACUGAUCCCGAAAGAGAGGUCUUUCUUUCUGGUUAUGAAAUCGCUUAGGUUGAAAAGCAAGUCGAUGAUGCCAUAAGUCAAACGGGCGGGUGAGGCGAGAGUCCUUCACUGCACUCACUGGAGAGAAGGGAUCAUCUCCAAUCUAGUUGUAAGGUCUUGUCCCCUUAUUAGUAGCCGAAGUGUAUGCCGGGUCAUUUUUGAUAAAUUGAUAUGUGCAUCGGAAUACUUUAACACUUUAAAUAAGCGUUAGUCGACCUCCGGAGGACAACAAUUUGCUUUUCCAACUGUCGAUUCUCUUUUUCAUUUUCUCCAGUAGAGGAAGGCAAUGCUCUCUCUUUAUUCUCUUGGGGGACAAGGGAAGAUCCAGGUACUUUAUAGGAAAACUACCUUUUUUUAUUCCUCCUCAAUGAUCUGGAAUUUCUGCGAGGAGCUCUGUUCGAGAAGAAGCACUGGCUCUUAUCGAAAUUGACCUUUUGGCCAUUACAAUCAGCUUCUUACUUCUUUCCAGAAAGAUUUUCAGUUUCUUAAGAUUCCGUUUAUGGCCAUUAUAUAAUAAUAUCAAAAUAGUUCGCAAAGAGAAGGUGGGAGAGUGCUGGGCACGAUCUCAAACCAUGGUAAGGUGUUAUCAUUUUCAAUGAUACUAACUCCUGUAGGCCUCGGCUUAGCACUUCUUCAGCUAAAAUCAACAGGCUAGGUUUGGAACCCUUGUCGCAGCCCUCGAGAAGCUGGAAAGUACUCAUGUGGCACACCAUCCACAAGCACUCCAAAGUUUUCAUUACAUAAACAUCCAUGUAUCAAAUUCCGCCAUUUAUCACAAAAGCCGAAAAUCACACACACGCAUUACCCCCAACAAGCCCAUUCGAUCCAAAAAGAUGCUUUUGCCAUAUCCUGAGUUUCUUUUGACCCCCCCUCCCUCCUACUAUUAAGCUUUUUGGUUGAAAUCCUUUAUCACUUAAAGCCACCUCGUGAGCCAAGGAGAUCUUCUCUACAAUAGUUAGUCCUUUAACAAAAGCCCCUUGUUCCUUAAAAAUGAUUCUAGGGAGAAUCCAACUCAUUCUUCGAGCUAGAGAUCAUUUUAUAGAAAUAGUGACAAAGCUCUCCUUCAAAUAUCUCAUAAAUAAAGGUAGGUCGGAAUUGGUGAAAAUGUGAAGGACUUUCGACUUUCGGAAUAAGGGCAAUCAAUGAAAUUUGAAUUCAAUAGGGCUUAACAGCGCCUUCAGCAAAGAAAUUGUGAACCGCCCUGACCAGGUCGUCUUCAAUAAUCUUCCAACAGUGAGAGUCAAAACUGGGAAUCCAUCAAUUUAAAGGAUAGGGGAGGCACUCUAACCAGGCUCUAUUUUCACCGCAUCAUGGAUUUCCUCUCGUUAUGGCGUGGAAACCUGGGAGAUAUUUUCAGCAUCAGUGAUCAUCGUGGGAAUACAUCUAAGUAGAUUAGGCUUCAGGCGCCACCCCCCACUCGGAAACCAUGAAAAGCAGAGCCCUUGAAAGUGCUCAGCAGCUUUGGCCCCCACCUGAAACACAUCACUAAGGAUGGAGCCAUCAUCUUUAACAACUUCUUUUGAGUUCUUUCUGGAUCUUCUAGCUAAAGUGGAGAGAUGAAAAAAUCUGAUCUCUUUCUAUCGCCCUCCUUUCCUUUAGCCAUUUGAUACGGGAUUUCUUUUUCCAUCUAAUUUCUGAAUGUCUAAGGCAUACAUCAUAAAGAUUUUUUGCCUCUUUUUCUUCCUGGGCUAACUCCGCAGUCCAUCCCACCCUUUCCAAGGAUUUCUGAAUGUCGCAGACCUGAAAUUCCGCUUCCUUGAUCUUUGAAAAAAUCGAUCCCACAACAUAUUUAUUCCAAAGUUGGAGGUCCCCCUUAAGUCGUUUCAAUUUAGAAAAGAAACGGUAUAACGGGGAUCCCCAGGCCGGUUGUUUCCAAGAGGUAGACACCACCUCCAAAAAAGAGUAGUAUGAAAGCCAAAAUCUCUCUUUUUUAAACGGCCGGAAGGCGGCGCUUUUAAGGCCAAUUUUUAUCAAGAGUGGGCAAUGAUCUGAUUUGAGUCAGGGGAGGUGCUCCACUAGUAUAUUAGGAAAGAUGGACAACCAUUUGCUGUUUGCGAAAACUCUAUCUAGUCUUAACCAGAUAUAAAGAGUCCUCUUACGAUUAUUACACCACGGGAACCUACUUUUAACAAAUCCCACAUCCAUUAAGCCACAAUCGUUCACAGCUUAGCUUCAUUAAAGUCCCUCUCCGCUAUGCUAUGCAGGAGUAGCCCUCCCAGUUUCUCUUCCGGUGACAAAACAGCAUUAAAAUCUCUUUUAAGAAGCUUUUUGGGGGAAGGGCGGGAAGAGCAAUUAGAGUCAUUUUUCUAAAUUCAUCCCACAGGUCUCGCCUAUCAAUAGUUUAACAGCUUGCGUGAACAAAAAGGAGGCGUACCUGAGUAUUUUAAGAUUUGAUCUUUGCGUUGGUAGAAAUGAAUUGGGCAUUGCCUUCAAUCAUGGACAGGUCAAGGAUAUCUUCUCUCCAAAAGACCAAGAUAUUGGCAGGGGAUUCAUCCGAGAUGUUCGACAUUCAUCCAUACGCAAUCUCCGCUUCAAUUUUGAUACAUAGUUGGCCCUUCUAACCAUUGGUUCCAGGAUGACAACCAAAAACUAAAGCCCGGUCCGAGCAAGAUCGUCGAGACGUCUACGCGUGGAAAAAACCUUGCAUUCCAAACAAUUGCAAUUGUGGAAAUUUUUGAAAUAGAGUGGAGUGGGGCUUAGCCCCAAGUUUGGAUUGUGCCCUAGUAGUCGCGCUCUUACCCAGGUGCUGCCAUUUGUUUGCCUUGUUCGGAGGCUCCGGUUUCAAAUCUUUCUCAAAGAUAGAUGAUUGUGGGUCCUGAGAGGAGCUAUUUGAUUCUUAAUCAUGAUCAUUGGAAUGAAGAGGUUUUGAGGACCUUCCUUCUAAGGAGAAAGCGCGAACUUCUCUCUGUAUGGCAACCACUAAAAAAAGAUAGUUAACCAUCGGUUCAUUGGAUUCCGGGCCGGAUGGAGCCAGUGCAUAAUCCGUAGGGGGUCUUGAUUAUCAACAAAAUUUCUGCCAACUAGUUCCUCUUCCUGCUGUCCCCGUGAGGCAGAGCUACCGCCGGUAUUAGGGGCUGCGUUAACCGAAGGCGAUUUUCCAAUAGCUAAAUACUCCGGUUGUUGAAGAACAGGAGCUUGGGGAUUGUUAUCUGGUUCAAGCUCUUCGCCCCGAGGACCAUCUUCAAUGGUUUGCAUGUAAGCAGCAGCAACAUCUGAAUCACAAGGGCUAACUUCAGUGGUAGCAGCCCUGACUUACUUAAAAGCUUCUGGAUUGGUUGGGUCAUUAGCAUGAAAAAAAACCGGAGCAUUCUUUGCAGCUUCAGCCACACCAGCAUUCACCUCAGCAGGUGCAUUUUGAACAGUAGCCGCAUUAUCAGCAGCAGGCAUCGUUUCAGUGGUAGGUGCUGACCGUAUUGGUAGCAUUGGUUCUUGGAACAUAGGCCAUUCUCGGUGACGGGUUGACACCAGGUUCCUUAUUCGCCACUUAGCAUUCGUGACGGGCAUGACCUUGUCGUCUGCAAUGCGUGCAGAACUUAGGUAUUCAAAAAGAAACGAUUUAUUGCUAGUGAUCCAUACACAGUAGAUCCAAUCCAAACACGAUUUGGGAGGUUUUCCUUGAGAAGAUCGACUUCUACACAAACCCUAGCUACGUUGGGGCGUGAGACAAGCUUCGUAGGACCGGGUCAGGCCAAUUCCGAAAGUAGAGACGAUAGAAAACAGGCGAAACUCAAAGAAGAAGACAAUAGGCAGAUGGGGUCGCGAUACCCAAAUAGGCGCAUGCAUUGGAUCACCAUUGCGGAGACGGAAAUCAUGGCUCCAGCAGAAAACCCUAAACAUCAAUCCCUCAAUCAAAAACUUCUCUUUGUUUUUUGGUGCAUAUCUUCUUUGUUCGAGAGCUUGAUGAAGACGUGCCUUGGAUCUAACAGAAUGAUCGAAAGAUCUCCCUUGGUACGCCAGUUCUUCGGAGCGAUCUCCGUAGGAGCUGCCAACGGGACGCCCACCGCAGCGGUAGAAGACGAGGGGGAAGGCUUUUUCAACCCAUUCCUUCGUCGAAAUCCGUUCCCCAUCCAUUUAAGAGUAAUCACGAACAGCAAGAAAAGAAUCGCAGCAAGCCCUAUGUGUCACGAGCAGGCACCACGGGUUGUUGACUUGAAGGUGGGGGGGAAGGCUUUUUGGGAUGCAUUAUAGCACAGGCCGUGACUACGUUUUUCCGUUGCUUGUUGCCCCUUUAUUAGUAAGAAUGCUGUGAAAACACAAGCUUAACACGUCUGUCUUUAUCUUCUUCAUAUCUUCAUGUCUUUGUCGAGUUGAUUGGUUGACAUUAUUCGCUCCUUUCUGUCUUUUCAUUGUCCGCCUCUGCCCGAACAGAUAAGCACUAACCCACCCGAAAGAAGGUGAAACCCUUCUUUCCAACCAUGGCUAUCCUUGUACGAAUUGUUGACUCCUUUCUUCGUACAAAUUAGACCUAGCUCGUAGGCGAAAGAUACCUUCCUUUGCAAUACUCCUGUCGGCGGGAUCCGCCAGUGCCCCCGUGUGUAAGGCCCUUUCCUCAAAGAGGUCGAAUGGUUCCUGUCCUAUUCAUACUACUCUGUUGGCUUAUGUGGUAUGUCUAGCGGAUGGUGAAUCCUAUCCAGGAUCGGAAUUGGAUAUUUCCUCGGUUUCCGAGAAGUGUCUUAAUGGGUAUCCGACCGCCCUCUAGCAUGUAUGAUGGCUAUCGUGGCUUGCCGUUCUACCAGAUAUCAUGAUUCUCCCUAUUGUGCAGGUGCCUCUAUUGGUUUCUUCAAUUCCUCCUAUUCACGUUGCUGCCAUGGCCAACACAGGAUAUUCCUCUAACUCGUUGUUCCCACGCGCGUGUCAUCAGUGCAAAUUUCGAAAUCAUCUUACGCAUAACUCUUCACUCUGCUUGGGAAGUGUUCGGAGUAGCACGAAUAUCCUAUGAAGGGGUCGAUCGCUUCGCCAAUGGGACAGCUAACUACGAAAUGUCAGGAGUUAGGGGGGGCUAGCGACUCCGAGGGAAGGGGUGAAUAGACCACGAGCAGCACGCUUGCUUCGGAGGGGAUCCGCAAGGCUUUAGCCCAAGACUUAUUGGAAAGGUAAUGAACUAUGCGGCGGUGUUGACCCUGCAAUAGCUCCCUACCUAUACCGCUGCCGGUGCUUUAUCAGAUGCUGAGCCCACUAGUUCGAUGCAUCAAACCGCUACCUCUCCCACCCCUUCCUCCGAUGCCGGCUAUCGAUCUGGAGAAGAUGCAGGAAAUACAAUUUUGAGUGCUGUCAGCUCAUAUAGAUUUCCAUCCGCACAUGUACCUGGACUUUCUUCCAUAAAUGGCUCCGCGGAUCUCCAUCUGUACCUAGAUUCGCCACUGGCUUCUCACUCGUGGCAAGGCUUUUGAUCGUAAGUAGAAGCAGGGCCGGACGAGGCUAACUUCCCUCCCAAUCUCAAGGGAAGGGGCAGCCUCAAUAUCCAUUGAACUACACUCCUUCUCUCCAUCUGUUGUUCUCUGGCGUUAUCUGUUCAUGGGAAUCAGCCGGAGGGGAUUUCUCGAUCAAUGAUGAGGCUUUGGCACAGUUGUCACACAGAACACGAAGACACAAGCACAAAAAGAAGAGUUUUUAGCACACGUAACUUGAUUAGGAGAACCCUAAUUCCCAGGUUAACGGAGCAACACUGCCAUUCUUUAGUCUUAUCACACUAAACUGCUAUUCCUAUAAGAACGAGACGGAGCACGAGAACUCGAAUUACACUGCUGCGCGUCUUGCACUCUCUGUAAGGGAUGAAUUGUGACAGGGCGACCGCUGACCCUUGCCCGGGAGGAAUUCUUAAACCUGGCAAGCUAACUAAUUAGAAGAUUCAUUCUAUGGAACUCAACUCAAGAGAAGGUACGAUCACAGGGAUUGUGGUUGUUCACGCUACCAGAUGAGAAGAAGGAAUUCUACCGAACUUUUCACUCAGGCACGGGCGUCAAGGUCUUUGCUUGGCGUCUUGCCCACUUUCUUUUCUUUUUCGUGUGGAGCGCCUUUCCAUGCCACCAAUGGCAAAUGGUCUAGUCCCCAAGUUGGAAGAUUCGUCUACAAGUUCAAACCAAAGGUUCAGUUCAAAGCUAGGACUCAUCCCAAAGGCAAGGUCAAGGUUCAGUCCAACGCGAUGGGGUUAUUGUUCCGUGUCAGAAAGCUUCUUAUUCACUCACCCGAAUGCGAGAUCAUUUGCCAGAGCAGAUGGACGAAACCCGAACCAACGAACUCUACUUUCAAAGGAGUUCCCAUCCCUAGCUGACGAACAGCUCAACCUCUUCUUUCACAGAAAAACCUCUUGUUCCUCUCUCUUUGUUCAUUAGGUCAUGGUGUAACGGCUCGAAAUGCGCCAACGACACGACGGAAUUAUCUGCCGGUGCUUGAGAUUGAGUGAAAUGGGGUACCGGCUCGAAACUCGAAAUGCGAACACGAGUUUCCCCAUUAUCUGCCGCUCGUUUCCAUUAGAAGAAGGAAGGCCAAGGCGCUGCCAUUAAGAUGAAUGAGCAGGAACGGAACUUCCAUUCCACUGCACUGAACCUUCAACCAAGCUGGUCGGACUGAAGCAAAGGAUCAAUCACCUAGCCGGGCACUGCUUCUUGCUUAGUCCUAUCCCGAUUCUGGACCUAUGACAGCUCAACCAGGACUUAGAGAGGCGGCUAGCACUUUGAUUGAUCAGAAAGAACCUUCUUCAUGUGGAAGCAACAUCCGCUUAUAUUGCUCAUGCUUAGAUGGCUCAGCCGCCUGGGUAACUCCUAGCUCUUUCUCUCUAAAACUGAGGAGAAGCAACAAGUUUCAGGGGGCACUCCCGAACCCCGUUUUACACCCCGGACCCGAAGAACUGCUCUGCUGCUGGCCGAGUCACUCCUUGCUCUUUGCUUUUUUUGUGAUGGCAUGCUUCUUUAAUUCAAUCUUUCAUUUCAUUCAAUCGUCGAAAGAUUGAGCCUGUGUUCAGUUAUCGUGACUUACCUAAUAUAUCUCUUACGAUAUUUCAACUUAAGGGCCGGCCCCAGUAGGCUUUGACGGUUAUAGAUAGAAGUAGGAAACGUCAAUGAAAGCCUACAUUAGCGAGUAGCCAUAUUUAGGCGUAACUGACGGAACUACACUUGAUUUAGGAGCUAACGGAGGGUGUGAAACAGACUCCUGCCCCAUGGACAAAACUACACUAACGAGACGUAGGCUUAGUCAAGUCAAGCAAGAGAAAGAGCUUUAGCCGAGGGUUCCCUCGAUCAAACUCGAAAUUUCAUAAGAGAAGAAAUCUCGUAGCGUAGAAAAGAAAGGAGAAAUCGUUUUGAUUCGAGGCAGAUCCCUUUUUUGUUUGCCUUUACGAGUUGAGUAAACAAAUAAAAAAAAGUCUUCUCUUUGGAUAAAUCCUAUCUCUCGUCACAUAAGAGCGCACUAAAUAAAAAGGAGAAGCAGAAAGAGACGUCGUUUUUCGCGAUAAGCAAGAUAAGGUUCUUUCUAGUCUUCAUCUGAGCUCCGUCUUCUCGUAGAAUCCUCGCGCUUUAAGGGCAGGAGGUCGUAGAUCAAACUCCUUCUUUUUUAGUUCGACGCGUCUAUGGCUUUAGAGAAAUUCCUACUGUUGUUGCGGUUAGUGGCUUAGCGAUUCCAGCAGGAAAGUGACUUUUAGGCUCAGUUGACUUCUAGUCCCAUGCUCCAGGGCAAGCAGAUAGUAAGCGAGGCUUGAUCGGUAGGCAAGUGGCCGAAGAGGAAGGGAAUUCUGUAAGUGAAGAAAUUCUCUUCAUCACGAGAUCCGGUCUUCAAGCCAGCAACCAGAGCAGGAGUCAUCUUCUUAUCAGAGCGCAGACUAGCCACGGAGCUAGUCAAAAAAAAAGGGAUCAGAGUCAAUUGCGGUCGCCCUCAGUCAAGAUCAUGUACCCAUCUUCCUAUACUAAUCCAUACAUCCCUUCUCAGUCUAUGGACAGCUAUCUCUCUAGCCCAGUUGCGGAACCGAGAUCGAGAUCCAGGAGGACGACGUCGAAUUCUUCUUCCAUUUUGAGCUCAUCUACUACAGGAAUCUUCAACCUUCUCCUUCAAGGACUUCCUUUCCACCCGCAGGAGAAGGUACAAUCCAUCAAAUUGAUUCAUGAAGACAGUCAAUCUCAAUGUGCUGGUGAAGCAAAUCAUUCCCAUUUUCAGACAAAGAAGACGUGUAAAGAUCCCCUUUUCCAAAGGGACAAGCAAAAAAUCACCCUAGGCAGAAGACUCUUCAAUCUGCGGGUGGCAAACUCACUAAUGUCUCCUGCCUCUUGUGGACCUUCCUUCACUUAUUAUAUGAAAAUGGGGACUCUUUUUCUUUCUAUCCUGCGCUAAGGCUGGUUCGAAAUCCACUUCUUUCAUCAGGGAGAAUAAGACCACUUAGAUCAGGCUGAGCUACCUAAACUAGGGCCUCCAACGCCUAUAAGUUUGGAACUCUUUGAUUAUCUGAAAGUCAACUAUCUCCACCAUUCCGUUAUUCCCGUCUUCAAUCUCUUUCCAUCUCUGCCCUGCUCGGGGGCAUUUCUCUCCGGAGGGGACUCAAUUCAAGGAGGCAACUUUCGUGUAGACCAAAUCUCUAUCGCGAUUGAUUCCGUCCUAUUGUGGGCAGCUUCCUAACACCCCCUACUCCUAAGCAGUAAACUCAUCUUGCAUUUCUUUGCGAACAACAGAGGCAACCGAUUAUCCUCAAUUUUGUUCUAUCUACACUGAGUUACACUCAGCCUUCGAUCUUUCCACUCAUUCAUCAUAGUCAAAGUCGAAGCCACGGCAUGGGAGGCUCGGGAAAAGAAGGAGCUUUUUCGUCUUCACCGCCGACUUCCUUCGCUCAACUCGCUUACUUGAUAAAGAAAGUGACAACUGAACUAUAACUAUAUUAACCGACCUCACAGCCUAUAGUCAAAGAAGUUGAUUACCGUCUUCCUUUGUAGGGUCAAUCCCAGUAUAGCCGGUCUGACUCUCAGAGUUCGAUGUAGACGUGAACCCCUCACAAGGUUAGGUCUGAGGUAGGAAUCCCGAUUUUUUGUCCCUUAUUAAGUCGAAAGUCCUUCACAUUUUCACCAAUUCCGACAUCUACUUUUCUUUAUGGGAUGUCCCGGUCUGCCAAUGCAUAAAGAGAGAGCUUCCUCUUCGCAGAGAUUUCGCGGAAACCCAGCUAUAUCCGAUCUUGUAAGCGCCUAAUUCCAAGACAAUAAUGGACCUUCUUCAAUCCCAGUUUACGUAUCAGUCUAGUGUGACCAAGACAUGAACAAAGAACAAUUCCUCCCUUGCUUCGAGCACCCAAACCUCGAGCACGAGGGGGACUGAAAGCAGCAAAGAACGAGGAGAGAAUCAACUCGACUUAAAAGGAGAGGAGACGAAGGAGAAAGUCAGAUGGUAAAGGAUAGAGGACUGCAAAAUGGUGUGAUCCUGUGCUAAAAGAAGCUUUAUAGCUUUAUAGGGUGGACGGUUUUCGACUUUCUACCUAGAAUAAAUGAAUAGAAUUGUCUGAAAGAAUCGUAUAAUAGGAUAGAGUACGAGAAGGGGCUACUCUGUUAAUAUAAUAAUAUAGUAUAUCACAGCUAACGCACUCCUCUAUUUCCGAUACGCCUGUAAGCUCGCCUCAAUCUUAGACUUUGCCUUUAUAUGCUGAGCAGAAAAAAACUCUUUUACGGGCUAUUCUCCAAGCAGCACGACCUCGCUACCUCCCGAAGCUGCCUAGUCACACAAUGCAGUCGGAGCUAGAGACGAGGAUGGACCAGGCUUAUCCAGAAUCGACCAAGCUAAGCAAAGAGGAACCUCUUCCAAGCGGAGCAUCCACUAUGAGAAACAUGCUCCCUACAGCUACGAAGGAAGAAGAAGAUAGACAAUGCAGAGAAGCACCUAGACCAAGAGAGAGAAAGAAACUUUCCUCACUCAGAAAGGCCCAGACCACGCUGGGGAAAGAAUGGCACUUUACAACUAUUUCUUCUGCCUUAUAACGAGCUGGACUCGAACCAGCACUGCCAGAUUCGAAAAGAAUCAGGGUUCAACCUAAGAAUGAUCGUUAUUUGUUAACCCGGUUCGCCGAAAAGGCUACGUCCGGGGGGGCUUCUAUUAUAGUCCCCCCUUUUCCCCCUCCCCACCGUUCUACUUCUUGGAUAACUUUCACGGUCGCCUUGAAAAAGGCGCUCUCUUCCCCUUGCUCCUUUAUUUCGUUAAAUAGGGAAAGAAGUUGAUCCCAAUUCUUGCCAUCAUUAUUGGUGACAUGAUUGAUGGCCCAACGCCACCGAAGAGGGUGUGGUUGGUACGGAAAACUAUCCUUGGUCAUAUCUUGUAAUUGAUGGAUAAGGCUUUUCCGUAUUUCAGUACAGAGCGUCUCAUCUUUAUCUCUGUCCCUUUUCGGAAUUUUUCUUGCCUUAUUUUUUUUUCAUCUUUUUUUGGGGGGGUCCCAUCAGCACCACUACUUGAGCAGGCGACAGAAGAGGUUUUUCUCCGCUUCUGAUGCCGUUGUCCGGCAUCAGUUUCCAUGAAAAUAAUAAUUAUCAAGAUAAAGAUUGUACUACAAAUAAAAAGUAAUAUUUUAUCAUCGAAAUGAAAGGACUCGAAGGCAAAAUGGAUGGUGAUCAUAAGAAUAUAAUACAAUAUGUCCAUGUGUUUUUUUUUAUUCUUUUUCGGAAGCAAAGGGAAAAAAUAAUGCCUAAACUCUAAACUAAAGUCAAAGUCAAAGGGCUAAUCUGUUAUUUCUUCCAUGGCCCCUAGAAUGCCAAUAUUAGCACGGAUCGUACGGAAAUGUAACUCACUAUUCAAACAACUAUUCAGAGUUCCUAGAGCUCCUUGUAAGGCUUGUUGAAAAACUCGUUGUCGGACCUGAUUAAUCGCUCUUUGUUGUUCAAAAUGAAGGGUUUCAUUUUUGUAAUUUUCUAAUCGUUCCAAAGUGUCACAAGUGGCAUUAAUCAAAUUUUCUUUUUCUCGUUCUAUCUCAGAGUAUCCAUUCAUUCGAUACUCAUCUGCUUCUAUUUCCACUUUCCGUAAGCGAGUCCUGGCUCUUUCGAGCUGCUCAAUGGCCCCUCUACGUAAUUCUUCCGAAUUUCGAAUAGUACUCAAGAUCCUCUGUUUUCGAUUAUCUAAUAAAUCAUUUAAUGAAAGUAGAUUAUCUUACCAUUAAUUUCACAACUUCCAUAAUCUCUUCCCGAACCAAACAUGAAUCUUUCGAUUCAUUUGGCUCUCACGCUCAAUUAUUUAUUUUAUGUUAUGGGCAUUCCCAUAUCUUUUUUUUUAAUGUAAUGAGCCUACCCUCUCUUUUCUGUUUAUAUUCAAAAACAUCGAAACUGAUAUAAGACCAGAAUAUUAGAAGGACUCUUCCGACCAGACAAAAAUCUAUAAUUGUCAGCAAAGUUCUUUCUUUAUUUGUAUUUGUUCUUUAUUUCAUUUGAAAUUGAAAUUUACAAUUUAUUUCGAUAUUUUUUUUUUCCACUUUUUUUCUUCAAAUCAAAAAAUUCCUAUUUUUUUUUUACGUAGGUCGUCGAUUCGGCAUUGGAAAAAAAAAAAUAGCAAGAUGCCCAUUUUUUUAAUAAAUGGUUCAAAUAAUUUUAUCGAUAUGAGUGUUCUAUAUCAGAUAAAUUACCCACUAUUCAUUUUGAAACCAUUUCGGUACGUUAGUACCGGUAGAAAGAGUACCAUGUUUUGCCUGGACUUCAAACAGUUUAGCUUUAACCAUGUUAAUGGUCUCACAUUAUUGGUUGAUAGAGAAUCCAAUUUACCAAUAAGUCACGAAAUGCUAUGGUUCUUACAUAUGAUUUCUUAAUUUAUUCAGAAAUAAUUCGUUGAGAUCGUGCACUUUUUUUCCUAUUUAUCCUAUAAAAUUAAUAAAAUACCAUAAAUAAAGUGCAGUCGGAUGGAUCCAACCUAUUCUUGAAAUACACAACUCGCACACACUCCCUUUCCAAAAAAAAUUAAUACACCAAGCACUACACUUAGAUUUAUUGGAUUUGUUGCUAAAAUAUCGGUAUUAAACCCGAAACUCCCGGCGGAUGGCCAGUGACCCAAGGAAAGGAAAGAAUCGGUUACAUUUUUCAUAUGCUCUCCUCUUAUAGAUAGGACUAACAAAGAACAGAGUUCUUUUUGUAUCACUUCGUCGUCCCUUUUUUGAUCGAUUUCUUUUUAUUAUAUAAAUUUGAUUUCCAUUUUUUUUUUAAUGGGAGUAGAUUAAAUCUAGUAAUUGAAUUUGAUAGUUUUGAAAUUUCUUACUUGAAGUUUCCAAUCCAAUAAAAUACUUAUUAGGUUAAGUCUUGGGUCUCAUGUCAAUUGUGAAAUAUCUCGUUUGUUGAAACGAUUCCUAAAAAAAGUCAAAAAAAGGUUUCCAUUGUACUAAACUAAGUACGCGAAGGAAGAAAACGAGCGGAUCCAGUAAUUACUCAUCCUCAAAACAGUCCUUCCUUUCCUGGAGUAUUGUCUCAACAAAUAAAUAAUUGUAGGAGUAAAGCGUUGAUAUAAUUAGAAGAAGCAAACUGCAAUUCUGAGUUAAUAAAAUAAGAAAAAAGUAUAGCGAGUGAAAUUCAAAAAAUAAGAAAAAGGCUUGGCAGCGAAAUUUUCCAAGGAGCAACUUCCUUAUUAGGAGGUUCCCCUAUUGAUAUUUAAUCACUCUCAAACAGGGGUGGCGGGUGGGUACAGAAAGACUAAUCCAAUCUUUUAAUUCAACAAGAAGUACCACCAGUGUGACCAGUGUGAUAGAAUGCGAUUCCGAGUGAUAAGACGUAGGAUAGAAGGUAUAGGAUGGAACCGAAUCGAGCCUACGGGGAAGUUGCUCCUUAGAAUGCCAAACCAAAUUAGAAGCAAGCAAGGCUUUCUUUUCUUGUAGUCGGGGAAAGAAUCCCGGGGUUGAUGCUGAACCAAUUCUUCCAUUCCAGAGCCCAGAGGAAGAAGAAAUAACAUUCCAUGCUGCGAGGCAUCGCUGAUAACAUCGCCUGUUGUACAGUUGCUUUAGCCUAGGAGCCAACCUAGCUAAGGCAAUAUCCCAAAGUAGGGGCAGCUAACUGUGUAGAUAGAUGCUCUUUCCUCUUGCGGGAAAGCUAUUCCUUGAGUUGAGAUACUACUGCUUAGAUUAGAUGGUUAGCUUAGUAGAUGCUUUCUUGUAGCUCUACCAUUUAAAAAGCACUUCUCUUGCGUUCUUGAGUUAGUUUUUUGUCUUGUAGCUACUACCGAUAUGCUAUGCAAGUGGUAGAAGUGAUGCUAUUAAUUCAGUGCUAAGCACUCAGCGCGCUCAGGGCUUGGAAGACUCUUCGCUAGCGAGGCAGCUAUUACAGAGGAAGAAUAAGAGGGAGGGGUACCAAGGAGACAAAGACAACUAUGUAAGGCUUAGACCUUGCGUAUACUGCUUCUCCUUUGGGUAGCUUUCUCUUCAAGCACUCUUGCCUUAAGAAGGAAGGGUUAGCUAUGUUUCAAGCACUCCUUCUUGAAAGAAAACAACUCAAAAGAGUCUUCCCAUUCAAGCACUACUUGUAGCUACCUAUCCCGACAACUACUAAACGCUAUGAAAGUAAUAUAACUGCUCUAUAGCUAGAAAGCGUGCUCCUACUAUACUAUAUUAUAUAUAAAGCGGCUGGAAAAGCCAUACAACUGUUAUGCCUGCAAUGAACCUGCUAUGAAAACGAUACACCUGUUCUACUGACCUGUGGCUCUACCAUUUGUAGAGAAGAAAGAAGUCACAACACAAAGGAAAGCUUAAAAGAACAACUACUUGAUAAGGUGUUGCUAAGAGACAAUACAAAGUAAUAAAGCAGUUAUUCCAGUAACACACCAGCUAUGCUAUGAAAGUGGAUGUAUAGGCCUCCUUUCCCAUACCCAAUCCAAGAGAGCAUCCUAGUGGGCCUCUUUGUUGGCGGUGAAGCAAGCAAACGUCUCAUUUUGUUCAUUGCGAGGUUAAGAAAGGGAGCCAAUCCGCGGAGUCAUUUUUCUCUAUGAAUUGGAUAUUUCAUUUAGGUAAUGCCAAGGUUGAUUCACCGAACGGAAGGAAAAGGGUGUGGGUCAAUCCAAAGACCGGGACUUUUCCCUGACUGGCCUGAUUGGACCGCUCUGCCUACUGGGCCUGGCUACCCCGCAACUUACCGCUUCAAAGCCCUAUCCUUGGCUACCGCUUGCUUGCUCACUGCCCUUGCUGCUGCUAGCUUUCUGGCUACUGGACUACUUGCUUGCGGCUGAAACCGGCUUUCUUGGCUAUGCUACUUUGCUACCGGCAGGACUGCUGCUACGACUACAUGCGCAUCUAGUGCAGUGGCUUGGAAGCAAGCUACCUUGACCAUCUUCCGAAGUUCUAAAUAAUAUACUGAUCAAAGUUCCGUCACGGACUGCUCUACAUUCAGCCACGCCACAGUGACUUCCGAAGCGCUACGGACGGGACGAAAUCCGGCAGCUUAUUGCUGGCUCUGAAUAACCAGCCCAGCAAUAAGCUAAAUUCUUCCAUAACAUAACGGGGCGAGGUUGCGCGCGAGCCGAGUGACGUAGGUGCACAAGAGUACUUCGCGCCACAACCAUCUCUUUUUUAUAGGUUCUACGGACCGAUGCCUGCUGCUUCAUCUGGUAGAAAAGAUUCAUAGAUAUGCCUGUAAUUAGAAGGAAGAACCGCCAUAAAAAUCUUCCUCGUGUAUCGUCUGUAGCAGAACUAUGAACGGGAGCUAGCAAUCCGGACCGUAUUGAAAAGGUUCCUGAGACACAGCAUGGAAGAGUCAAAAUAUUAAGAAGCGAGAUCCAAGAAUGAAGAAGGGGUAGAAUUACUGAAUGAAUACGAGCUGUGGCUAAUACCCGAGGCAUAAAAGAGGCAUUUUCUACGGGAUCCCGAAACCACCAGCCACCCCGACCUAAUUCAUGAUGAGCCCACCAACUUCCUGGCGAGAUGCCUACGGUUAAAAACAACCGACAUGUCAAGAUCCAAAUUCGAAUUGGUUCCUGGUCCUGGUCAGAGACCACUGUGUUCGCGCCGGCGGUCCAACAAAGAGGCGAAGUCGUGGUCUCUUUCUUUCCAUUACGAACGACACGCUUCGCCUGCUCCCUCCCCGUGUCCAUUAGCGCUCCUGUCCAGAGCGAAGAGAAGGCGAAAAAGCGCCGCCGAAGCAGCAUGAGCAGGCUUCUAUUGCUACGCAACAAUAGAGCAGGUGCGCCGCCCACAAAAUGUUUGAAUGAUCGGGUAAAGAGCGAGCUUCUUAUAUGGGAUCCGACGCAUCCAGCAGAGCGAAGCAGCCUUCCAUUCUUUUCGGCGGCAUCCUUCCGCAUUGGCGGCGAGUGGAGUGCCACAAUCCCAUUCAUCAUUUUUGAUCUACAUAAGCCAAAGCCCAUAGCACUGGCGACGUCUCCGGCAUAAAUGCGAGGAGGAUGUAUAGCUGAUAGAGGAUCUUGUGGAACAGGAUUUGAUUCUGCAAGCGGUUCGGUACGAACGAAGAAAUUUCGAACAAAAGGAUCGGAACUCGCUGAUAGGAAAGGAGAGAAAAACAAAGCAAUGCCAAGAGCUCCGUCAAUCCGCUGUUCUUCGAUAGACGAAGCUCUCUCUUUUUCAUCUCGUGCCAGAUGCAACAAAAGAUUAGUCCUUUUUCCUUCUCGCGAACCACGGGAGCGCCCAGCGCCCAGAAGAGCAAAGCUCAUUUUCCUUCCAGGGUAAAGCGGCGCAUAAAAAAGGGCUGGCCCGUCAAAAGUCCGGUUCCUUCGCGAACGAAGUUCAGAAUCAACAAGGGUUCGUAGAACGAAGGGAGUGUACAACUGGGGCGCAGCCCCACUUUUUUGUUGGAGAGAUAGAAUGGAGUUCUUCACGAAGUUCGAGACAAAGGAAAAAAGAAAAGUUUCUCUAUAGCCUCUUCGUUUUGAGACAUUAUGGCUUUGGGGUCGACCCCGGUAACAAAGAAGGAAUCCAUAAAAAAAAGGGAUCCAACACCAUGAUAAAAUACUACCCUCAUGAUUAGACCAUGUCCCUGAAAUUUGAUAAAAGAAAGGUGCAUUAGCGGUUAAUACGUUGUAAUUGGAUAAGUUAUUAGGAAUAUGACGGAACGAAAGACCAAGGAAAGGAAUAAGAAUGCACCAAAAUGCAGGUGCUGCACCAAACGCUGGUGGUUCUUUCUUGUUGUAAGUGAAUGCAACGAAAAGACCCGGAAAUAACGAAUAAUGAGAGAAUUCAUUUAUAGACAUUUCGUGCUCAUUUCAAAAUUUCUGCUUUGUUAUUCCCAUCAUCCGGUAACCACAGGAUGAUCCCAAUCUCCUUUUAGUAAUAGAUCUUUUUGAUAUGUCUCAGUCUCCGCGGCAAGGAAGAGAAAAUGCAUCGAGUCCUUUAUCAAGAAAGUGGACGAGCAUGGUGGUCCCUAUAUCUCUGAG
rnacentral:lncRNA from 1 species